rnacentral:lncRNA from 1 species
CGGUCGACGUGUGGAGUAAUAGUAGUAGAUGCAGAAAGUAUCGGUCUACUUGUUUCGGACGUGAUGCCUAUAGAAAUAAUCAUUGCAUAGAUAUCGUCACGACUCUGCACAGUUCUAUCAAUUGCUCGACAGUAAUUUGUUCACCCACCGUCUACUUGCUUUCAUGAGAGAAGCCACUAGUAAACACUACGACCCCCGGGUCUAUUCAAAUCCAUUGUUUACAUCUCUGCUUUUACUUUGCUUUGUUACUUUGUUGCUUUCAGUUCUUACUUGGCAAACAAUCUAUAAGGGAUUGACAACCCCUUCAUAGCGUUGGGUGCAAGAUUUUGUGUUUGUGCAGGAUCUUGAGAUACUCUUCGGUCGGAUUGAUACCUUGGUUCUCAAACUGAGGGAAAUACUUACCGUCACUGUGCUACAUCACCCUUUCCGUUUUGAGGGAACACCAACGCAAGGCUCCAAGGCCACGGGGGAAAUCCUUUGCAUACUUGCCUAGGAAGUCCCUUAAGGCGUAGCCGUAGCUGAAGGAUUCCUGGUGCAGUUGGUACAACUAUUUCUGGCGCCGUUGCAAGGGAUACACAACAAACAUCAGAAGUAUUUCUGGUGCCGUUGCCGGGGAGGAGAAAUCAAGAUCUAUCCAAGUAGGUCUCACAAACUCUUCUCUUGCAUUUACUUUUGUUGCCAGUUGCCUCUCGUUUUCCUCUCCCCCACUUCACAUUUGUCGUUUUCAUUUGCCUUUCUCCUUUGCCUUUUUUGUUUGCGUUCUGUUCGCUUGUGUGCCAUGUGCCUUCAAUAUGCUUGCAUCUUCACUUGCUGUAAAUCUAGUGAUAUGGAUCCUCAUCCACUUGGUAGUCUCUUUAAGAGACCCACUCGUGUGGAACAAAUUGCUAGUGAGUUGAGGGCAAUUGACUAUUUCUUUGGAGUUUUGCGUAAGAUGCAUGAAUCUGAAAAUUGUGAGGAAGAAAUUCAUGAAGUGAUUCACGAGGGCUCCUUGAAUGAAAAGCAUGAUUGCAAUGGUUUCACUAUAAAUUCUAUUAGUGACAAUCAUGCUAAAAAUAUGCAAAACCCUAAGCUUGGGGAUGCUAGUUUUGCUUUGUCCACUACUUGUUGCAAUAAUCAUGAUUGGGGUGAUGAUCUUUCUUAUGAUCUUGAAAAUUUGUUCAAACCUCAUGAUGAAUAUGAUAUUUGCAACAAUAUUGAAAGUGGGAUUGGAGAAGUCAUGACUUUAUUUGAUGAUAAUCCCACUAUUUUUGAAGAGCGUCAACUUUGCAUGCAUGUGGAUCAUGAAAACAAUAUCCUAUGGGAUAGCUGUAUUGUUGAAUUUGAAUAUGAUCCCACAUGUAAUUUCUAUGAGAGAGGAAAAUAUUGUGGUAGAAACUUUCAUGUUACCAAAUCACGUCUCGUGAUGUUGAGAUUGCUUUUGUCUCUUUCUUCUUCCUUGCAUAUGGUAACUAUUGGUUUCUUGACAAUCUGUUUUCCUAUAAAAUGCCUAUGCAUAGGAAGUGUGUUAGACUUAGAUGUGAUUUUCACAUGCUUUAGGAUGCUCUCAUUGUGCUUCAAUUCUUGUCUUUUGUGAGAGCAUCAUUGAAUGCCUAGCUAAGGGCGUUAAACAAAAGCGCUUGUUGGGAGGCAACCCAACGAAUCUAUCCUUUUUUCUUUCUGUUGUGUGUUUUCCACACUUUAAUAAUUCUGUUAUGAUUGUGUUUUUGUGUUUCUUUUUUGCGUUUGUGCCAAGCAAAACCGUUAUGAUUAGUCUUGGGGAUGAUCGUUUGGUCAUGCUGAAAAAAAUAGAAACUUUCUGUUCACGAAAAUAUUUUUCAUUUUUUUCUAUAAGAGAUUUUGAGUUGAUUCUUUUUGCUGCUGAUUGCUAAGCAAAUGCUUCAUACUGUCGUAAUUUUUCAGAAUUUUUGAAGUAACACAGGUAUACGAAACAUACAGAUUGCUACAGACUGGUCUUCUGUUAACAGAUUCUGUUUUUGUUGUGUUGGUUGCUUAUUUUGAUGAAACUAUGGAUAGUAUCGGGGGGUAUUAGCCAUGUAAGAUUGAAAUUACAGUAACCCAACAUCAGCACAAGUAGAAUUUAAGUUUUCUACAGUACCUAAGGAAGUGGUGGUUUGCUUUCUUGUACUAAUGUUAUCACGAGUUUCUGUUUAAGUUUCGUGUUGUGAAGUUUUCAAGUUUUGGGUGAAGUUCUUAUGGACAAAAAGAUACAGAGUGGCAAGAUCUCAAGCUUGGGGAUGCCCAAGGCACCCCAAGAGAUUCAAGGAUGUCGUAAAAUCCUAAGCUUGGGGAUGCCCCGGGAAGGCAUCCCCUCUCUCGCCUUCAAUCCAUCGGUAACGUUACUUGGGGCUAUAUUUUUAUUCACCACAUGUUAUGUGUUUUUGCUUGGAGCAUCUUGUAUCGUUGAAGUCUUUUUUUUGUGUCACAAUCAUCCUUGCUGCACACCUAGAGAGAGAGACAUGCACACACCAUGAUUUUGUCGAGCUUCACUUAUACCUUUUGGUAGACAAUCCAGCUCACAUGUGCUUCACUUAUAUCUUUUAGAGCACAGCGGUGCGUGGCUUGGUACUCGAUCUAUGCUUUGAAAGUAGUCUCAAAAGGGGUAGUUAUCCAAAGGGAUACGAAAACUUCCACCUUCAUGUGCAUUGAAUAGUUAGAGAAGUUUGAUUCAUCUCAAUUAGUUUUGAGUUGUGGUUAUGGUAAUAUUGAAGUCAUGCUAGUAAGGUGUUGUGGAUCUAGAAAUACUUGUGUUGAAGUUAGUGAUUCCCGUAGCAUGCACGUAUGGUGAACCGCUAUGUCAUGAAAUCUGAGCAUGAUUAGUCUAUUGAUUGUCAUCCUUUGCGUGGCGGUCGGGAUCGCGCGAUGGUUUAUACCUACCAACCCUUCCCCUAGGAGGAUGCGUCGAAUGCUUUGUUUCGAUUACUAAUAAAACUUUUGCAACAAGUAUAUGAGUUCUUCAUGACUAAUGUUGAGUCCAUGGUUUAGAUGCACUUUCACCUUCCACCAUCACUAUCUUCUUAGUGCCGUGCAACUCUCGCCGGUGCACAAAACCCACCAUUAUCCUCCCUCAAAACAGCUAGCAUACCUACCUACUAUGGCUUUUUCAAAGUCAUUCUGAGAUAUAUUGCCAUGCAACUACCACCAUGAUAUGUGCCACCACGUCUACAUUGCAUUUGCACGAUCGUAAGAUAGCUAGCAUGAUGUUUCCAUUGAUGUCUAUGCCAUGCUAGAUCAUUGCCACGGUACACUACCGAAGGCAUUCCAUAUAGAGUCAUAGUUGCUCUAAGUUUUGAGUUGAAAGUGUGAUGAUCAUCAUUAUUGGAGCAUUGUCCCAUGUCAGGAAAUAAAAGAGGCCAAAGAAGCCCAUAAAAAAAAGAGGCCAAAGAGCCCACCAAAAAAUAUGAGAGAAAAAGAGAGAAGGGACAAUGCUACCACCUUUUCCACACUUGUGCAUUUUGAGCACCAUAAUCUUCAUGAUUGGGAGUCUCUCGUUUUGUCACCACCAUAUAGCUAGUGGGAAAUUCUCAUUAUAUAACUUGGCUUGUAUAUUCCAAUCAUAGGCUUCCUCAAAAUUGCCUUAGGUCUUCGUGAGCAAGCGAGUUGGAUGCACACCCACUAGUUUUCUUUAAGAGCUUUCACAUACUUGUAGCUCUAGUGCAUCGUUUGUAUGGAAAUCCCUACUCAUUCACAUUGAUAUCUAUUGAUGAGCAUCUCCACACCUCAUUGAUAUGCCUAGUUAAUGUGACUAUCUUCUCCUUUUUGUCUUGCAACCCCCACCACAUUCCACACCAUCUAUAGUGCUAUAACCAUUGCUCACGCUCAUGUAUUGCGUGAGAGUUGAAAAUGUUUGAGCAAGUAAAGGUGUGAAACAAUUACUUGGCCAAUACCGGGGUUGUGCAUGAGUUAGAAUCGUUGUGCAAUGAUGAUAGAGCAUAGCCAGACUAUAUGCUUUUGUAGGGAUAACUUUCUUUUGGCCUUGUUAUUUUAAAAGUUCAUGAUUACUUUGCUAGUUUGCUUGAAUUAUUAUUGUUUCCACGUCAAUAGCAAACUAUUGUUUUGAAUCUAACGGAUCUGAACAUUCACGUCACAUAAGAGGAAUUACAAAGGACACCUAUGCUAGGUAGCAUGAAAGCAUCAAAAAUUCAUUCUUAUCACUUCCCUACUCGAGGACGAGCAGGAGUUAAGCUUGGGGAUGCUUGAUACGUCUCAAACGUAUCUAUAAUUUUUGAAGGUUUCACGCUGUUAUCUUGCCUUCUUUGUAUGUUUUUUGUACCUUUUUACAUCUUUUUGGGACUAACUUAUUAAUUCAGUGCCAAGUGCCAGUUCCUGUUUUUUCCCUGUUUUUGACUCUUUUCAGAUCUGAUUUUGGAACGAAGUCCAAACGGAAGAAAAACCCCGAAAUGAUUUUUUCCCGAACGGAAGAAGUCCAGGGGCUUUGGGGCCAAGCCAGGUGGGCUCGAGGGAGCCCACAAGCCCCCACUCCGCCACCAGGGGAGGCGACAGUGGGCUGGCUUGUGGCCUUCCUGGCCGCCUCCUGACCUAGGUCUUUGGCCUAUAAAUUCCCAAAUAUUCCGCAAAAAAUCGGGGGAGCCUCGAAAAUACUUUUUCGCGGCCGCAAGCUUCCGUUUCCGCGAGAUCUCAUCUGGAGACCCUUCCCGGCACCCUGCCGGAGGGGACUUUGGAGUUGGAGGGCUUCUUCAUCAUCAUCAUCGCCCCUCCAAUGACUCGUGAGUAGUUCACUUCAGACCUACGGGUCCGUAGUUAGUAGCUAGAUGGCUUGUUCUCUCUCUUGGAUCUUCAAUACAAAGUUCUCCAUGAUCUUCAUGGAGAUCUAUCCGAUGUAAUCUUCUUUGGCGAUGUGUUUGUCGAGAUCCGAUGAAUUGUGGACUUGUGAUCAGAUUAUCUAUGAUAUAUAUUUGAGUCUUUGCUGAUUUAUUAUAUGCAUGAUUUCAUAUCCUUGUUAGUCUCUCCGAGUCUUGGGUUUUGUUUGGCCAACUAGAUCUAUGAUUCUUGCAAUGGGAGAAGUGCUUGGUUUUGGGUUCUGCCAUGUGGUGACCUUUCCCAGUGACAGUAGGGGCAGCAAGGCACACAUCAAGCAGUUGCCAUCAAGGGUAAAAAGAUGGGGUUUUUAUCAUUGGUUUGAGAUUAUCCCUCUACAUCAUGUCAUCUUGCUUAAGGCGUUACUCUGUUCUUAUGGACUUAAUACACUAGAUGCAUGCUGGAUAGUGGUCGACGUGUGGAGUAAUAGUAGUAGAUGCAGAAAGUAUCGGUCUACUUGUUUCGGAUGUGAUGCCUAUAGAAAUAAUCAUUGCAUAGAUAUCGUCACGACUCUGCACAAUUCUAUCAAUUGGUCGACAGUAAUUUGUUCACCCACCGUCUACUUGCUUUCAUGAGAGAAGCCCCUAGUAAACACUACGGCCCCGGGGUCUAUUCACAUCCAUCGUUUACAUCUCCGCUUUUACUUUGCUUUGUUACUUUGUUGCUUUCAGUUCUCACUUGGCAAACAAUCUAUAAGGGAUUGACAACCCCUUCAUAGCAUUGGGUGCAAGCUUUUGUGUUUGUGCAGGAUCUUGAGAGGCUCUUCCGCCGGAUUGAUACCUUGGUUCUCAAACUGAGGGAAAUACUUACCGUCGCUGUGCUACAUCGCCCUUUCUGCUUCGAGGGAACACCAACGCAAGGCUCCAAGGCCACGGGGGAAAUCCUUUGCAUACUUGCCUAGGAAGUCCCUUAAGGCGUAGCCGUAGCUGAAGGAUUCCUGGUGGCGUCGAUACAACUAUUUCUGGCGCCAUUGCAAGGGAUACACAACAAACAUCACCCAUCAUACCAUCAUAUCAGGCACGCGUCUCACUCCUUCUUCAAAUUCCCGGACUUUAUUCAUCAUUGAAACCCACUCUUUAGGCAGCAAGACCGGGAGCAUCUCGAUGGCAUGCUGGUGGCUCUUCUGGCUUCGCCGCGACGUCUUGCCUCCUCAUAGGACCGAGGCCCUACCACCACCAGGUGAUUUUUUAUCAUUUCUUUUAUUUUCUUUGGGCCUGACUGUGUCAUUUCCCCGGGUGCUAUCUAUGGUUGAACUUGUAUGAGGGUGUAUGGACCAUUGCUUUAUCUAUAGAGCGGGGCGAAUGCCUAUUUCGUCAAGAUGGCAACGCAAGAAUAGGAGAAAAUGGCCUUCCUCACUCCUUAUAGAGUGUACUGCUAUGUGUGCGUGUCGUUUGUUGGAAAUAUGCCCUAGAGGGAAUAAUAAAUUGCUUAUUAUCAUAUUUCCUUGUUCAUGAUAAUCAUUUAUUAUCCAUGCUAUAAUUCUGUUGAUUGGAAACUUAGAUACAUGUGUGGAUACAUAGACAACACAGUGUCCCUAGUAAGCCUCUACUAGACUAGCUCGUUGAUCAAAUAUGGUUAAGUUUUCUAGCCAUAGACAUGAGUUGUCAUUUGAUAAUGGGAUAACUGUUGGGAACGUCGCAUGGGAAACAAAAAUUUUCCUACACGCACGAAGUCCUAUCAUGGUGAUGUCCAUCUACGAGAGGGGAUUUCCGAUCUAUGUACCCUUGUAGAUCGCACAACAUAAGCGUUAGUGAACGCGGUUGAUGUAGUGGAAUGUCCUCACGUCCCUCGAUCCGCCCCGCGAACCAUCCCACGAACCGUCCCGCGAUCCGUCCCACGAUCUAGUGCNGCUACGUCUAUUAGUUUUGGGUCUAGUCCAUCACAUGAUUCUCCUAAUGAUGUGAUCCCGUUAUCAAGUAACAACACUUGCCUAUGGCCAGGAAACCUUGACCAUCUUUGAUCAACGAGCUAGUCAACUAGAGGCUUACUAGGGACAGUGUUUUGUCUAUGUAUCCACACAAGUAUUGUGUUUCCAAUCAAUACAAUUAUAGCNNNNNNNNNNNNNNNNNNNNNNNNNNNNNNNNNNNNNNNNNNNNNNNNNNNNNNNNNNNNNNNNNNNNNNNNNNNNNNNNNNNNNNNNNNNNNNNNNNNNNNNNNNNNNNNNNNNNNNNNNNNNNNNNNNNNNNNNNNNNNNNNNNNNNNNNNNNNNNNNNNNNNNNNNNNNNNNNNNNNNNNNNNNNNNNNNNNNNNNNNNNNNNNNNNNNNNNNNNNNNNNNNNNNNNNNNNNNNNNNNNNNNNNNNNNNNNNNNNNNNNNNNNNNNNNNNNNNNNNNNNNNNNNNNNNNNNNNNNNNNNNNNNNNNNNNNNNNNNNNNNNNNNNNNNNNNNNNNNNNNNNNNNNNNNNNNNNNNNNNNNNNNNNNNNNNNNNNNNNNNNNNNNNNNNNNNNNNNNGGGCAUAUUUCCAACAAUAACACCAUUAGGAGAAUGGUGUGAUGGACAAGACCCAAACCGUGAGCAUAGCAUUUGAUUGUAUCACUAAGUUUAUUGCUAUUACUUUCUGCAUGUCAAAGUAUCUGUUCUUAAAACUAUGAGAUCAUGCAACUCCAUGAAACCGGAGGAAUGCCUUGUGUGUAUCAAACAUCACAACAUAACUGGGUGAUCAUAAAGAUGCUCUAUAGGUAUCUCGAAGGGUGUUUGUUAGGUUAGCAUGGAUCGAGACUAUGAUUUGUCACUCCGUACGACAGAGAGAUAUCCAUGGGAUCUCUCUGUAAUACAACAUCACAAGAAGCUUGCAAGAAUGUGACUAAGGAGUUAGUCACGGGAUCGUGUAUUACUGAACGAGUAAAGGGACUUGCCGGUAACGAGAUUGAACUAGGUAUGGAGAUACCGACGAUCGAAUCUCGAGCAAGUAACAUACCGCUGAACAAAGGGAACUGCAUACGUGAUUGAUUGAAUCCUUGGGAUCGUGGUUCGACUGAUAAAGUUCUUAGUGGAAUAUGUAGGAACCAAUAUGGGCAUCUAGGUCCCGCAUUGGUUAUUGACCAUAGAGGUUUACCGGUCAUGUAUGCAUAGUUCUCGAACUCACAGGGUCCACACACUUAACGUUCGAUAACGAUAUAGUAUUGUUGACUUAUAUAUGUUGGUGAACGAAAGUUGUUCAAAGUCCAAGAUGAGAUCCCGAACAUGACGAGGAGCUCCGGAGGUAAAUAUUCGUAUAUGGGAAGUUGGUAUUCGGGUUCUGGAAUAGUUCCAGGAUUUGUCAGAUUUCAUCGGAAGUGUCGGAAGGAGUUGUGGGGGUCCACCUACCCCGAAGGGCCCCAUGGGCUGAUAAGGAGGCUCACUAGGACCCUAGUGGGCUGGGCGCCCCUCCUCCCCUAAGGCCCAUGCGGUCAAAGGGCUAGGGCCAACCCAUGGGUGGCUACCACCCCCUCUCCUUGUGGGAAAAGGCAGCCCCUUUGGCUGCCACCCCAAACCCUAAGGGAAACCCUAGGGUGGCCACACCUCCCCCUCCCCCUAUAUAUAUGAGAGGAGAGAAGGGCACAUAACACACCAAAGCGUUGGCAGCGCCUCCCCCCUAUCUCUCUCUAGUAGUUUUUCCCCUCCGCCGCGUCGUGACAUCGCUUGGUGAAGCCCUACCGAGAUCGCACCACACCACCAUCACCAUGUCAUCGUGCUGCCGGAGAACUCAUCUACUUCUCUGCCUAUGCUUGCUAGAUCGAGGAGGUGGAGAUGUCGUUGAGCCAUACUUGUGCUGAACAUGGAGGUGUCAUCCGUUUGGCGCUAGAUCGGGACGGAUCAUGAUUGGAUCGCGAAGACACUCGACUACACCAACGCGUUUCUUAGUGCUUCCGCUUAGCGAUCUAGAAGGGUAUGUAGAUGCACUCCCCUUUUCAUAGCUAUACAUAUCCAUAGAUAGAUCUUGGGUGCACGCAGGAAUUUCGUUGGUUUCCCAUGCGGUGUUCCCCAAUAGUGGUAUCAGAGCUAGGUCUAUGCGUAGAUGAUAUGCACGAGUAGAACAAAAAGUGUUUGUGGGCAUUGAUGUUCUGAUUGUUUACUUUGAUUUGGCGGUAUUGUGCGACGAAGCGGCCCAGACCAACUUUACUUGUCCAUGUACAAGAGACUGAUUUCAUCGACUGACAUGUAACUUGGUUGUAUAAAGGUGGCUGGCGGGUGUCUGUCUCCCACUUCAGUUGAAUCGGAUUCAAUAGAUGCAGUCCUUGUAGAAGGUUAAAUAGCAACUUGAAUUUCACCAUUGUGGCUUUGCGUAGUUCAGAACCGUUCUUGCUAAUUUCCAAUAGCAACCACAUAAAACUUGCAACAACAAAGUAUAGGACGUCUAACUUGUUUUUGAGGGCAUGUUGUGAUGUGAUAUGGCCAAAGAAUGAUUUGAUAUAUGUGAUGUAUGAGAUGAUAAUGUUUUUUAUAAAUUAUCAUGACUUGCAUGUCAAUGAGUACGGCAACCGGCACGAGCCAUAGGGUUGUCUUUAAUUUAUUUGUGCCAUUUGCUUUACUUUAUCGCUAUGAGUUAUCAAUAGUUGUAGAAGCAAUAGUUGGCACGACAACCACAUGAUGACACGAUGAUGGAGAUCACGAUGAUGGAGAUCAUGGUGUCAUGCCGGUGAUGAUAGAGAUCAUGCCGGUGCUUUGGAGAUGGAGAUCAAAAGCACAAGGUGAUGAUGGCCAUAUCAUGUCACUUAUAUGGUUUGUGUGUGAUCUUUAUCUAUUAUGCAUCUUAUUUUUCUUAGGACGACGGUAGAAUUAUAUGAAGAUUCCUCAUUAAAAUUUCAAGAAACAAUUGUGUUCUCCUCAAGUGUGCACUUUUACAAAAGUUCGUCGUUUCGAAGCACCUCGUGAUGAUCGGGUGUGAUAGACUCUACUUUCACAUACAACGGGUGUAAGCCAGUUUGCACAUGUAGAACGCUUGGGUCAAACUUGACGAGCCUAGCAUGUACAAACAUGUCCUCGGAACACAGGAUACUGAAAGGUCAAACAUGAGUCAUAUAGUAGAUAUGAUCAACAUGGAGAUGUUCACCAUUGAAACCACCUCAUCUCACAUGAUGAUUGGGCUUGGGUUGGUGGAUUUCGAUCAUGUUACACUCAGACAACCUGAGGGAUGUUGAUUUGAGUGGGAGUUCUUUAGUAAUAUGAUUAAUUGAACUCAUUAUCAUGAUUAUAGUCUAAGUUGUCUUUGCAAAUUAUGUUGUAGAUCAAUGGCUCAUGUAGUAGCUCCCCUAAAUUUUAAUGCGUUCCUAGAGAAAGCUAAGCUAAAAGAUGAUGGAAGUAACUAUGAGGAUUGUGUCUGUAAUCUGAAGAUUAUCCUCAUGGCUUCGCAGAAGGCUUAUGUCCUUGAUGCACCGCUUGAGGCGCCACCCCCUCAAGUGUGUCCUAUGGAUGUUGUGAACGUCUGGCACGCGUGUGCUGAUGAAUACUCGAUAGUUUAGUGCACCAUGUUGUAUGGCUUAGAAUCGGGACUUCAAAAGCAUUUUGAACGCCAUGGAGCAUAUGAGAUGUUCCAGGAGUUGAAGUUACUAUUUCAAGAAAACGCACGGAUCGAGAGGUAUGAGACCUUCGAUAAAUUCUUUGCCUCCAAGAUGGAGGAGAAUAGUUUUGUGAGUGAGCACAUACUCAGAAUGUCUGGGUACUACAACUUCUUGAGUCAGCUGAAAGUUGAGCUUCUGCGUGAGACGGUCACUGAGAUAGUUCUCCGAUCACAACCACCUAGCUACAAAGGCUUCUUGAUGAACUAUACUAUGAAAGGGAUGAACAAGUCCAUCUGUGAGCUAUUCGCGAUGCUGAAAGUCGUGAAGUAGAAACCAAUAAGGAGCAUCAAGUGUUGAUGGUGGAUAAAACCACUAGUUUCAAGAAAGGCAAUGACAAGAAGGGAGACUUCAACAAAAUGACAAGCCAAUUGCCGCUCCCAUGAAGAAACCCAAGACUUGACCCAAGACUAAGACUGAGUGCUUCUAUUGCAAGGGUAGUGGCCACUAGAAGCGGAAUUGCCCCAAGUAUCUCGCCAAUAAGAAGGCUGGCAACGCCAACAAAGGUAUAUUUGAUAUCCAUGUUAUUGAUGUGUACCUUACUAGCUCCCGUAGUAGUGCCCGAGUAUUUGAUACCAGUUUGGUUGUUCAUAUUGUAAUUCGAAACAUGAACUACAGAAUAAACGGAGGCUGGCAAAGGACAAAGUGAUGACGCGUGUCAAAAAUGGUUCCAAGGUUGAUUUGAUCAUCGUCGGUACGUUCGCUCUUCGACUACCAUCAUGAUUAGUUAUGAACCUAAAUAAUUGUUAUUUGGUGCAUGUGUUGAGCAUGGACAUUAUAUAUGGAUCAUGUUUAAUGCGAGACAGUUACUCAUUUAAAUUAUAGAAUAAUGGUUGGUCUAUUUAUAUGAGUAAUAUCUUUUAUGGUCAUGCACCCAAUGUGAAUUGUUUAUUCUUGUUGAAUAUCGAUUGUGAUAGACAUGUUUCUAACAUUGAUCCCAAAAUAUGUAGAGUUAGUAAUGAUAGUACCACUUUCUUGUGGCACUACCGCUUAGGUCAUACUGGUGUAAAACGCAUGAAGAACACCAUGCUGAUGGACUUUUGGAAUCACUCAAUUUUGAAUCUUUUGAUACAUGUGAACCAUGCCUCAUGGGCAAGAUGAAGAAAACCCUGAUUUUCAGAACAAUGGAAAGGGCAAGUGACUUAUUGGAGAUCAUACAUACUGAUGUGUGCGGUCCAAUGAGUGUUGAAGCGCGCGGUGGAUAUCGUUAUUUUAUUACCUUCACUGGUGAUUUGAGUAGAUAUGGAUAUAUUUACUUGAUGAAGCACAAGUACGAAAUGUUUGAAAAGUUCAAGCAAUUUUAGAGUGAUGCUGAGAAUCAUCGUAACAAGAAGAUAAAGUUUCCGCGAUCUCAUCAUGGAGGAGAAUAUCUGAGUUAUGAGUUUGGUAUGCACUUGAGACAGUGUGGAAUUGUUUCACAGCUCACACCACCUGGAACACCACAAUGUAAUGGUAUGUUCGUACAUCGUAAUCAUACCAUAUUAGAUAUGGUGUGUUCUAUGAUGUCUCCUACCGAUUUGCCACUAUCAUUUCGGGGUUAUGCAUUAGAGACAACUUCAUUCACUUUAAAUAGGGCACCAUCUAAAUCCAUUGAGACGACGUCGUAUGAAUUGUGGUUUGGCAAGAAACCUAAGUUGUCGUUUAUUAAAGUUUGGGGGUUUAAGCCGUCGUUUCUUACAGUUUGGGGCUGCGAAGCUUAUGUCAAAAGGCUUCAACCUGAUAAGCUCGAACCCAAAGCAGAGAAGUGUGUCUUCAUAGGAUACCCAAAGGAAAUAGUUGGGUAUACCUUCUAUCUCAGAUUCGAAGGUAAGGUCUUUGUUGCCAAGAACGGGUCCGUUCUAGAGAAAGAGUUUCUCUCAAUAGAAUUGAGUGGGUGGAAGGUAGAACUUGAUGAGGUUACUGAACCGUCACAUCAAUUAGAGAGUAGCACGACACAGGAAGAUGUUUCUGUUACGCCUACACUAAUUGAAGAGGGAGCUAAUGAUGAUGAUCAUGAAGCUUCAUAUCAAGUUACUACCAAACCUCAUAGGUCGACAAGGACAUUUACUGCUCGUGAGUGGCACGGUAAUCCUGUCCUGGAGGUCAUGUUGUUGGACACCAAUGAACCUAUGAGCUAUGGAGAAGUGAUGGUGGGCCCGAAUUCCAACAAAUGGCUAGAGGCCAUGAAAUCCGAGAUAGGAUCCAUGUAUGGAAACAAAGUAUGGAAUUUGGAAGUAUUACCUGAUGGUCGAAAGGCUAUUUAGAAAAAAAUGGAUCUUUAAGAGGAAGACAAACGCGAACGGUAAUGUCACUGUCUAUAAAGCACGACUUGUUGCAAAGGGGUUUUCACAAGUUCAAUUAGUUGACUACGAUGAGACUUUCUCACCCGUAGAGAUGCUUAAGUCCGUCAGAAUCAUGGUAGCAAUAGCUGCAUUUUUCGAUUAUGAAAUUUGGCAGAUGGAUGUCAAAACAACGUUCCAUACUGGUUUCUUUAAGGAAGAGUUGUAUAUGAUGCAACCAGAAUGUUUUUUUGAUCCUCAAAAUGUUGACAAAGUAUGCAAGCUCUAGCGAUCCAUUUAUGGGCUAGUGCAAGCAUCUCGAAGUUGGAAUCUUUGCUUUGAUGAGGUGACCAAAGUGUUUGGGUUUAUACAAGUUUAUGGGAAGCUUGUAUUUAUAAGAAAGUGAGUGGGAACUCUAUAGCGUCUCUAAUAUUAUAUGUGGAUGACAUAUUGCUCAUUGGAAACAAUAUAUAACUUUUGGAAAGCGUGAAGAUAUAUUUGAACAAGAGUUCUUCAAUGAAAGACCUCAAAGAAGCUGCUUACAUAUUAGGCAUCAAGAUCUAUAGAGAUAGAUCAAGACGCUUAAUAGAACUUUCACAAAGCACAUACCUUGAUAUGGUUUUGAAGAAGUUCAAAAUGGAUCGGUCCAAGAAGGGGUUCUUGCCUGUCCUGCAAGGUGUGAAGUUGAGUAAGACUCAAUGCCCAACAACUACAGAGGAUAGAGAGAAGAUGAGAGCCAUCCCCUAUGCCUCAUCCAUAAGCUCUAUAAUGUAUGCAAUGCCAUGCACAAGAGCAGAUGUCAGCCUUGCCAUAAGUAUGGCCGGAAUGUUUCGAAGUGAUCUAGGAGUGGAACACUGGACAGUGGUCAAGAAUAUCCUUAAGUACCUAAAAAGGACUAAGGAGAUGUUUCUCAUUUAUGGAGGUGUUCAAGAGCUCGUCGUAAAGGGUUACGUUGAUGCUAGAUUUGACACAGAUUCGGAUGACCCGAAGUGUCAAACUAGAUACAUAUUUAUUAUGUAUGAUGGAGCGGUCAGCUGGUGUAGUUCGAAGCAAAGCGUGGUAGCGAAUUCUACAUGUGAAGCAGAGUACGUAGCUACUUCGGAAGCAGCGAAGGAAGGUGUCUGGAUGAAGCAGUUCAUGACGGAUCUUGGAGUUGUGCCUAGUGCACUGGUUCCAGUGACUCUAUUUUGUGACAACACUCGUGCCAUUGCUCUAGCCAAGGAAUCAAGGUUUCACAAAAGGACCAAACACAUAAACCAUCGGUUCAAUUCCAUCUACGAUUAUAUCAAGGAGGAGGACAUAAAGGACAUAAACAUUUGCAAAGUACAUACAUAUCUGAAUGUUGCAGACCCAUUGACUUAACCUCUUCCACGAGUAAAACAUGAUCAUCACCAGAAUUCUAUGGGUGUUAGAUUCAUUACCAUGUAAUACUAGAUUAUUGACUCUAGUGCAAGUAUGAGACUAUUGUAAAUAUGCCCUAGAGGAAAUAAUAAAUUGGCUAUUAUCAUAUUUACUUGUUCAUGAUAAUCGUUUAUUAUCCAUGUUAUAAUUGUAUUGAUUAGAAUCUCAGAUACAUGUGUGGAUACAUAGACAACAUAGUGUACCUAGUAAGCCUCUACUAUACUAGCUCGUUGAUAAAAAAUGGUUAAGGUUUCCUAGACAUAGACAUGAGUUGUCAUUUGAUAAAGGAAUCAUACUUUGGCAUAGCAUUUGAUCGUAUCACUAAGUUUAUUGCUAUUGCUUUCUGCAUGCCAAAGUAUGUGUUCCUAAGACCAUGAGAUCGUUAAACUCCCUGACAUCGAAGGAAUGCCUUGUGUGUAUCAAAUCUCACAACAUAACCAGGUGAUCAUAAAUAUGCUCUACACGUAUCUCCGAGGGUGUUUGUUGGGUUGGCAUGGAUCGAGACUAGGAUUUCUCACUCAUUAUGAUGGAGAGGUAUCUAUGGGCCCUCUUGGUUAUACAACAUCACAAGAAGCUUGCAAGCAAUUUGACUAAGGAGUUAGUCACGGGACCUUGUAUUACGGAACGAUUAAAGAGACUUGCUGGUAACGAGAUUGAACUAGGUAUGGAGAUACCGAUGAUCGAAUCUUGGGCAAGUAACAUACCGCUGAACAAAGGUAACUGCAUAAGGGAUUGACUGAAUCAUUCGCAUCGUGGUUCGACCGAUAAAGAUCUUCAUGGAAUAUGUAGGAACCAAUAUGGGCAUCUAGGUCCCUCUAUUGGUUAUUAACCGUAGAGGUGUCUCGGUCAUGUCUUCAUAGUUCUCCAAUCCACACGGUCCGCACGCUUAACAUUCGAUGAUGAUAUAGUAUUGUUGAUUUAUAUAUGUUGGUGACCUAAGGUUGUUCGGAGUCCCGAAUGAGAUCUUAGAUAUGACGAGGAUCUCCGAAAUGGUCCGGACAUAAAGAUUCAUAGAUGGUAAGUUGGUAUUUGGGUUCCGGAAUAGUUUCAGGAUUUGCUAUAUUUCGUCGGAAGUGCCGGAAGGAGUUACAGGGAUCCACCGGCAGGGUCCACCUGCCUCAGAGGCCCCUAUGGACUAAGAGGGAGGCGCACCAGCCCCUAAUGGGCUGGGCGCCCCUCCUCCCCUAAGUCCCAUGCGGCCAAAGGGAUAGGACCAUCCCAAUGGUGGCCGCCAUACCCUGUUCUUUGGGGCCAAGAUAGCGACCUUGGCUGCCGCCCCAAACCCUAGGGGAAACCCUAGGGCAGCCACACCUCCACCCUCCCCCUAUAUAUAUAUGAGAGGAGGGAAGGGUGAUACUCAUGAUCUGACUUGGGUUUCCCGUGAAGAGGAACGGGUUAUCACAACACAAAGUAGGUAAGUAUUUCCCUCGGUUACAAAACUAAGGUUUAUCGAACCAAUAGGAAUAUCUAGUACAACCGUGUGCAGCACCUGCACACAAAAGAACAAAAAACGUGCACCCAACGAGGGAAGAGGGUUGUUAAUCCUAUUGUCUUGUUAUUUAAAAGCAACUGAGAUGUGUAGAUAAUUGUAGAUAGCAAGAUAAAAUAAAAAUAAGUAAAUAACAACAAGGUAAUGAAGGUUUUAUAAAUAUGUUGUGAAUAGACCCGGGGGCCAUAGCUUUCCCUAAUGGCAUCUCUCAUGAAAAAUAGCAUACGGUGGGUGAACAAAUUAUCGUUGGGAAUUGACAGAAAAGCAAAUAGUUAUGUGAUAUUCACGGCAAUGAUCAUGUAUAUAUAGGCAUCACGUCCAUAAACAAAUAGGGCAAAUCAUGCCUGCACCUAUUACUAUUACUCCAUUCAUUGACCGCUAUCCAGUCUGCAUCUAGAGUAUUACGUAAAACAGAGUAAUGCAUGGAGAACAAUGACAUGAUGUAGACAAAGUAAACUGAAGCAAUAUGAAUAAACCCCAUCAUUUUAUCCUUAGUAGCAGUAACACAAAGACACAUACUUGUCCCCGUCUGUCAUUGGGAUAUAGAAAUUCGCCAGGUUUAACCUACCACAACGCACCUCUCUCACCGAAGAAAUAUCGAUCUAGUUGGCCAAACUAUUUCAAUAGAUCGGAGAGAAUUAUGAAGCUAUCAUAAUCAUGCACAUAAGAAUCAUAUAAGUAUUGAGAGGUGACUCAAAUAUUUAUCAAGAAUGAUCUGAACAUAAACCCAUAAUUCAUCGGAUCCCAACAAACGCACCGCAGAAAAGGAAUUACAUCAUAUGGAUCAACGUGAAGAUGCGAUCAUCAUUGUAUUGAAUAUCAAAGAGAGAGAGAGAGAGAGAGCGAGAUUGCCAUCUAGGUAUUGACUAUGGACCUACAAGUCUUUGGUGAACUACUCACACAUCAUCAUGAGGGCAGCAAGGUUGAUAAAGAGGCCCUCCGUGAUUGAUUCCCCCUUCGGCAGGGUGUUGGAACGGAGCUCCAGAUGGCCUCUGAUACGUCCCAAACGUAUUUAUAAUUUAUGAUUGUUCCAUGAUCUUUUGGCUAACAUUGUUAUAUUUUUGCUACACUUUUAUACCUUUUUACACAUAUUUGGACUAACCUACUAACUCAGUGCAGCCAGUGCCAAUUUUUGUGUGCUGAUGUCUUUUUUCCACGGACUUUUACCCCAAUUUAGAGAGUCCCAAAAAUCCCAAGAAAAAUAUAUAAAAAUCAGCGUGACGGAAGCUUCCGCAGCACCAAAUAUGGGCCAGAGGGGAGCUAGGGCUUGCCUAGGCGGCCUCCCUGCGCGCCAUACCCCCUGGUCGCGCCCGCGGGUCACCUGGGUGGGUCUCACCUCCUCUGGUGCCCUACCUUGGCUCCUACUUUUACCCCCGUGGAGGAAACGCUGAUUCCCGAACCCUUUUCUCCAGAAGCAAUUUCGAUCUCCGCCGACAUCGCCAACAAGUUUCGGGGGACCAGAAUUCCUGUGCCGGCACCCUGCCGGGACGGGGAAGUGCCCCCAGAUUCAUCUCCAUUGAUGUUGCUUCCUCCCUCCAUGAAGCGGGAGUAGUUCCUCCUUAGGGCUGAGGUCUUCUAUAGUAACCAUGUGGUUAAUUCUCUCUCCCAAGAUGUGAUCUUGAUUGUGAUCAUAGGCUAUAACCUAGGGUGAUCCCAUGAUGUUUCCCUUCUUCUAUGUAUUGGGUUGAUGUACUCACUUGAUCUUAUGUAGUAUAAUCCCCGUGACCAUGGUGACAUCGGUCUGUUGGACAUGGAUUAGAAGAAUAUUUUCAUGAGUGAUUUCCUCUUUUGUGAAUUGAUUGAAGAUUGAGAGUCUCUUGGUUCUUGUCUUUGACUAUCCUUGAGAUACGUUGUGGUGAUUGUGGUACUCUCUUUGGAUGGCCGCAGUGACAUUGGGAAAUCCAUAGAUGAGAACUACGAACUCUGAGGUGUACUUUUGUAGCCCUACAAAAUUCUCGUCCUCUCUUGAUCAUAAAGGAAUGACCUCCGAGUACGUCACCAUUCCAUGUUUUAGUGGAAAUAUCAUGUGAUUAGACUAUGUUAAUGUUGUUGGGAGUUGCCACUAGUGAAAGUAUGAAGCCUCGGCCUUGUUUCUCACCAUUGUUACACCGUUUAUGCUCACUUUUGUCACUUGCUACCUUUCUGCCAUUUUUAUUUCAGAUUUACAAUACCUUGUUUUACCAUCCAUAUCACUUGUAUUUUAACAUCUCUUCGCCGAACUAGUGCACCUAUACAACUGACAAUUGUAUUAGGUGUGUUGGGGACACAAGAGACUUCUUAUAUCUUAAUUGCAGGGUUUCUUGAGAGAGACCAUCUUCAACCUCUACUUCCGUGAGUUCGAUAAACCUAGGUCAUCCACUUGAGGGAAAUUGCUGCUAUCCUACAAACCUUUGCGCUUGGAGGCCCAACAUAGUCUACAAGAAUAGACGCGUGCGUAGUCAUCAAGCUAUUUCUGGCGCUGUUGCUGGGGAGAUGAGUGCUUGAAAGUAUAUCUUUAGAUCUUGCAAUUAAAUCUUUUCAUUUCUUGUUUUUAUUUUCACUAGUUAGGCUUAUGAAAAAAUGCACUCUUAGUUCGCUGCUUGGGCAAGGCUGCUUUACCACACCCGUGGUAGAGAAGUCUCCUCCACCUACUAAAUGUAUCCCAUUCGAAAUACCACUUGGGAUAAUUGAAAUAAUUAGGAAAGAUUGUUAUGCAGGAGAUGGAACAAUCGAUCCUAGUAUUCAUUUGUAGAAACUUACAGAACUUUGUGAGUUGUUUAAGAUUUCAGGUUUGACAAGAGAGGAGUCAUAAUGAAAUUAUUUUCCUUGUCACUGAAAGGAAAAGCAUUGGAAUGGUAUAGUCUACUAGAUGAUUCUCACCUACGGGAUUGGGAAGAGAUCCAGACUCUAUUUUCCUCCAAGUUUUAUCUUCUUCAUGAAGUCCAUGAGAAUAGGAAUUAUGUUUAUAAUUUCUAUCCUCAUGACAGAGAAAGCAUAGCUCAAGCUUGGGGGAGACUGAAAACUUUAAUGCUAAAAUGUCCUAACCAUGGGCUCCCCAAAGAUAUGAUUAUUACUAAUUUCUAUGCUAGGCUCUCUCGACAGGAUAAAGACUUGCUCGAUGCUUACUCUAUGGGUUCUUUCACAAACGAAAGGAUUGAUGCCAAAUGGGAACUCCUUGAAAGAAUUCAACGCAAUACUAAAGGUUGGGAGAUCGACAAAGGUAAAGAGUCAGGUAUAAAUUAUGAGUAUGAUUUCAUUAAGGCCUUUGUUGAAACUGCAAGUUUUAAUAAGUUUAGUGCUAAGAUUGGGCUUGAUUCUCAACUCCUUGUUGAUUUCCUCAAAUCUUUUGCUUCACAGCUUAAUAUGCCUAAGGAGAAUUGGAUCAAGCAUCAUGAACCUUUUAAAGAGAUUUGCAAAGAAAAUGAGAUUUUUAAUGAUAAUUGCAACAUGCAAGAUCCAAUUCCUAAAAAUGAAGUUUUAUAUAAGCAUGUUAAUUUUGGUGGAGUGGAUACACCUUGUGAAAGUCCUAUGAUUGAAGAAGAGGAGUAUUGUAAGCAACAUAAGCAUGAAAGAAAAAUUACUUGGGUUAGAGAUUUAAAUGAAAUUGCUAGAGAAUUGUGUGACCUUUAUCCUUUUACUUGUGUACUUUGUGGUAUAGAGGGUCACUUUAAUUUUCAAUGCAUGUACUUUAGAAACAUAACCGUUAACCAGUUGUGUGAUAACAUGGUCACUUAUGAUCUUUAUGAUGAACUUAUGUUAUUUUUGAUGUGUGAAGAGUUACCAGAAAAAACUUCUUGGCUAGAUGAUAAUGCCUUAGGAAUAAACAACACUUUGCAAAAAUUCCAUCUCUAUUGUGUUGUUAAUUUCCAUGAAAAUGAUUACAUAAGUAAGAUUAGAAAGAGGGAACUUUACCAAAGCAUAAAAAUGUCUCUUAUGUUUCCACUAAUAAAAAGGAGAGUUUCUCCCAAGUUUCCCCUAUUGUUUCUAAUGAUAAACCAGAAUAUUUGGAGAAGCUUCCUCUCAAACCACUCCCUCCUAAGGUGAAGAAGAAGAAAAGGAAGAGGAGGAGGAGGAACAAUAAGGAAGAAGAAUGGGUAUCAACCUGGCCUGAGCAUAUUCCUCGCAUCAACUUUUAUCCUAACAUACAUAAAUUUAUGAAGGAUAGUGAGCUUGAUUGUUAUUAUCUUGAUGAUAAGUCCGUAGGUACUAUUGAAGAUGAUUUUGAUUAUGAUAUGCAUGUUACUUAUUGCGAUUGGGAAGAUGAUGAUAAUGCUACUUAUGAUCUUGAAAAUAUUUUUGGUACCAACUUUGAAAAUGAUGAUAUGGAAAGCUCUAAGCUUGGGGAUGAUAGGAUUGCAAGUCCUUUACCCAUUAGUGAUGUGAUAAUUAAUAAUUCGUUUCCUAGUAAGAAUAAAGACAACAUGUUUACAAAUAUAGUUGCUAGCGACAAUAGUGCUCUUCUCUACCAUGAUGAUGUUAUAACUCCUAUCUAUAGUGAUUGUAAAGAUACCUAUGACACAAGGAGAAAUUAUCCAUAUGAAACUUGUCAUAAUCAUGGAGGUAAUUACUCCCUUGUUGAACACCAUCUCCCCAAUACACAAUUAAUCUAUAGUGUUCAAGUUGUUUAUGAUAGUCCUACUCCCACUAUUACCAAUGAGAAAGAUUAUGCUUAUGUGGAGAGUAAGAGUACCUUUUUGCAUGUGGAUCAUGGUAACAAUGCUUUAUGUGAUACUUAUAUUGUUGAGUUUAUUCAUGAUCCCACUGAAAAUUAUUAUGAGAAGGGAACAUAUGCUUAUAGAUAUUUCAAUAAUAUCAAGUUCCCUUUCUUUAUGUUGAAGGUUUUGAAGCUGCACUUGUUUUGCCUUCCUAUGCUUAUUGCUUUGUGCUUCAAUGAAUUAUUCUAUUGCAAUAUUCCUAUGCAUAGGAAGCAUGUUAGACUUAAAUGUGUUUGGUAUUUGAUUCUUGAUGCUCUCUUUUCUUCUACAACUCUUAUUCCUACGAGAGCAUCAUUAAAAUCUUAAGCCUAUCUUUAUGGCUAUAAAGAAAGAGCUCUAGGGAGACAGCCCUUGUUAUCUUUACUUUGAGUUUUUACUUUCAGUUUUUAGUGGUAUUGAUGUGUGUUAAUACUGUAGAAACAUCAUUGUAUCUUUAUUUUUAAGCUUUGUGCAAAGUUUUAGCCUCCGAUUGCAAGAAAUUUCAAAAGUUGUGACAUGUUGUCCAGAAACAGAUUUUGUCUGCUUGACGGAAAAAUUCACCAAAAAUCACCAUAUCAUCUUUUUGAUCUGAUUUGUUUUGAUAGUAUGAUCUAUACAAUUGGCUUUCUGGCGACGGUUCUGAGUUUUUCGAUUUGAGUUGCAGAAGUGCCCUAAAAAAAUUAUUUACUACCUGUUGGUCUGUUUUUCACAGAUUCUGCCACGUUUUGCGUUUUCAUCGUUUUGCAAAUAUUAAGAUUGCUUUUUCUUUGCGAUUUUUUUUGGCAAUCUUUAGAAACAAUAGCUCUUCAUGAAAAUCUUUAUUUCCAGUGGAGAAAAAUAUAUUUUAUUAUGGGUACUAACCACUCUAAUCAGCUUAUGAUGAGUUUCGUAUGAAGGGAGUUUUGAAGUAUGCGAUGGAAGAUGAUGAAAGAAGAUCCAGGAGUGUCAAACGCUCAAGCUUGGGGAUGCCCCCAUGCACCCCCAAGAAAUAUUCAAGGAGACUCAAGCGUCUAAGCUUGGAUAUGCCCCCGUGCAUCCCCUUCUCCAUCAACAAUCAUCAGUUCGUCCAUCUCCAUGCCAUAUUUUUAUCACUUCAUAUGUUAUGUGCUAUGCUUGGAGCGUACCGCUCUUUACUUUUUAGUUUGUUUUAGUUUUUAUUGCUGUUCAGAACAAGUCAGAACCUAGCCUUCUUUGUUUGGGAGAGAAACACGCUCCACUCCACCUUAGAACACAACAUAGGUUUUCAUGCUUAUCUUUUUUAUGUGUUCUUUAUCUUUUCAUAGCUAUUGUCAUGCUUAGCUCUUACUUUUCAUGCUUUAUCUUUUUAAUAGCUUUUAUUUAAAUUGCUUUGGAACUCUCUUGAGUUAUCAUGCUUAUCUUGUUAAGAGAGUUGGCUUGUUGCACUGAGUUGUGUGUCUUGCAUGAGUAGGUAAUUGAGGUUGUUAUUUAAGUAUAGUAGUAACUUGCAACAGUUUUAAGGUAUUGAUUUGAGGAAUAUUUGGACUAUUGGUGCCAAGAGCUUGAGCCUAUUAGUGAUAGGUGUCGUAUUUUGGGAAAUCUGUGUGUCUUUCAAAACAAAACAAAAAAUAGUUGAGAACUCUAGCUACUAGAUGGAUCGCUAACCUCUGGAGGGGUUGGAAUAUAUAGAGUACCUUCGCGUUACCAUGGGUCGAGGAUGCGCAAGGAUAACCAAACCCCCAAACACUCCUCCUUGAGGUGCUUGUCUCUUUGUGAAUCUCCUGACUAGAUAGAGCGUUACCGAUAAUAACUGCAUGAUUUCUUUGGACUAAUGUGAGUAUUCGAUUGUUGGCACUUCCACCAUCCAUAUUUUGCUAGCCUCUUCGGUACCGUGCAUUGCCCUUUCUCAUCUUGAGAGUUGGUGCAAACUUCACCGGUGCAUCCAAACCCUUGGCAUGAUACGCUCUGUCAACAUAAGCCUCAUUAUAUCCUUCCUCAAAACAGCCACCAUACCUACCUAUUAAGGCAUUUCCAUAGCCUUUUCGAGAUACAUUGCCAUGCAACAUCCACCAUCUCAUGACUUGAUCUUCAUGUCAUACAUGCUUUUGCGUGAUAGAGGAGCCGCAUGCUAGUUGGGCCUUGCCCUUAUUAUUGCUACAUGACGCGCUAGUAUCAUUGCAUAUCCUGCUACAUUGGCAGAGGCAUACAUUUGCAUACAUCAUGAUAGUUUUCAUUUGCCUUUAUGUUGAGUACUUCUUAUAAAGUGUGAAGAUCUUCUUUUUAUUCUUGUAAAACAUAGAGUGUUGCCCUUAAGUGAGGAAAAGAUCCCAAAGAGGACAAAUUAAAUGAUCCCAAAAGAGGACACAUGAAAAGAUCCCAAAGAGGACAAAUGAGAGAUAAAUAGAAAGAGCCAAAGAGGCCACACAAAAAGAAAAAAAGAAAAAAAGAGAGAAAAGGGGGCAACACUACUAUUCCUUUUGAAAGAUCCACACUCGUACUCCAUUGUUAUAUUUGUACUCCAUAGAGAUUAUCAUUCAUGCAUAACUAUGUGGGGACCCUUACACUAUAGAACUUGGCUUCUAUAUUCCAAUGAUGAGCCUCCUCAAAUGAGCUCUAGGUCUUCAUGAGCAAGCAAGUUGGAUGCACCCCCACUAAUUCCAUUGGAGAGCUCACCUUAGAUCAUAUGUGCAUCCAUUGCAUGGCAAUCCCUACUCCUCACAUCAUAUCUAUCAUUUGUUUUUAUCUCGCCUAUGGUUGUCCUCAUUGAUGUGAGCCUUUCACACUUUUUUUGUCUUCCUUCCCCAUCAUUAUUCUCUUUGUCGUCCUAAGUGUCAACAUAUCUUGCUUGCGCUCAUCCAUUGCAUGAGUGCUCAAAAUCAAAAGGGAGAGGAUCAUUUUGACUUGUGUCUGACUAGUGGUCUCGGGAUGAGUCAAAAUAAGAUUCCGAAGGAGACCAAGUGUGAAGUUUUAGUAGAUUGAGUUCUCAAUUAAAACUACAAAAUAUUUUAUGCUCUUAACCCAUCUCCCACUUCUUGCACGCAAACACCAUUUGGAGACAUUCGAGUCACGGACAGCGAGAGAUCUUGCACCUUUAUGUUCUUACUUUGCUAUUUUCAAUACUAAAUAUAGACUCUUGCUUGUUAUUGUCUUGACUUGAAUUGCAUAUCUUACUUGCUUUACUUUGAAGUUCUUAUAUGUGUGUUAGCAUGUCACCACAUAAAUUAUUUGUGUUAUCAUUUACCUACUCGAGGACAAGUAGGAAUUAAGCUUGGGGAUGUUGAUACGUCCCAAACGUAUCUAUAAUUUCUUCUUGUUCCAUGAUCUUUUGGGUGACAUUGUUAUAUGUUUUUCUACACUUUUAUACCUUUUUACACAUAUUUGGAGUAACCUACUAACUCAGUGCACCCAGUGCCAGUUUCUGUGUGCUGAUGUAUUUUUUGCAGGGACUUUUAUCCCAAUUUACAGAGUCCCGAAAAUCCUGAGAAAAAUAUAUAAAAAUCAGCAUGACGGAAGCUUCCGGAGCACCAAAGAUGGGCCAGAGGGGAGCCAUGGCUUGCCUAGGCGGCCUCCCUCGGCCUACCCCCUGGACGCGCCCACAUGUCGCCUGGGUGGGUCCCACCUCCUCUGGUGCCCUACCUUGGCUCCUAUUUUUUACCCUCAUGGAGGAAAGGGUGAUUCCCGAACCCUUUUCUCCAGAAGCAAUUCCGAUCUCCGUCGCCAUCGCCAACAAGUUUCGGGGGACCAGAAUUCCUCUGUCGGCACCCUUCCGGGACGGGGAAGUGCCGCCGGAUUCAUCUCCAUCAACGUUGCUUCCUCCCUCCAUGAAGCAGGAGUAGUUCCUCCUUGGGGCUGAGGUCUUCUACAAUAGCUAUGUGGUUAAUUCUCUCUCCCAUGAUGUGAUCUUGAUUGUGAUCAUAGGCUAUGUUAACCUAGGGUGAUCCCAUGAUGUUUCCCCUUCUUCUAUGUAUUGGAUUGAUGCACUCACUUGAUCUUAUCUAGUAUAAUCGCCGAGACCAUGGUGACAGCGGUCUAUUGGACAUGGAUUAGAAGAAUAUUUUCAUGAGUGAUUUCCUCUUUUGUGAAAUGAUUGAAGAUUGAGAGUCUCUUGGUGCUUGUCUUUGACUAUCCUUGAGAUACGUUGUGGUGAUUGUGGUACUCUCUUUGGAUGGCCGCGGUGACAUUGGGAAAUCCAUAGAUGAGAACUACAAACUCUGAGGUGUGCUUUUGUACCCCUACAUAAUUCUCGUCCUCUCUUGAUCACAAAGGAAUGACCUCUGAGUACGUCACCAUUGCAUGUUUUAGUGGAAAUAUCAUGUGAUUAGACUAUGUUAAUGUUGUUGGGAGUUGCCACUAGUGAAAGCAUGAAGCCUCGGCCUUGUUUCUCACCAUUGUUACACCGUUUAUGCUCACUUUUGUCACUUGCUACCUUGCUGCAAUUUUUAUUUCAGAUUUACAAUACCUUGUUUUACCAUCCAUAUCACUUGUCUUUUAACAUCUCUUCGCCGAACUAGUGCACCUAUACAAUUGACAACUGUAUUAGGUGUGUUGGGGACACAGAGACUUCUUUGUAUCUUAAUUGCAGGGUUGCUUGAGAGAGACCAUCUUCAACUUCUACUUCCCUGAGUUCGAUAAACCUAGGUAAUCCACUUGAAGGAAAUUGAUGUUGUCCUACAAACCUCUGCGCUUGGAGGCCCAACAUAGUCUACAAGGAUAGACGCAUGCGUAGACAUCAGCCUCUCAUUGGAACCGAGACUUGCGGUGGCGUAAAAAGUGUUUCAGGACUCCCUCUGGUGUUUUUAGGGUAGAUGAGAAUUUAUAAAUCAAAGAACAGAGUCGGGAGGGCCACGAGGAAGGCACAAGCUAUCACGACACCCCCCAGGACGAGCCCUGUUGUCUUGUGGGCCCCUCGUAAGGUCUCCAACUUUCUUUCGAUGCUUGUUGGUCUUCUUUUGGUCCAUAAAAAAUCACCAAAACGUUUCAGGGCAAUUGGACCUCGUUUGGUAUUGAAAACCUGCAAAGUGAAAAACACGCAGAAAACAACAACUCGCACUAGGCACUCGGUCAAUAGGUUAGCGAUAAAAAAUAAUAUAAAAUGGUAAAUGGAUACCCCAAAAGUAUUAUAGAUUGAUAAUAUAUCAGCAUGGAAUAAUCAAAAAAUUAUAGAUACAUUGGAGACGUAUCAAGCAUCCCUAAGCUUAUUUUUUGCCCAUCCUCGAGUAAAUGAUAAAAAUAGAAUUUUUUAUGCGACAUGCUACCUAGUAUGUAACCUUGUGCAUGUAUGCUCAUUAAGAAACGAUGAAUUACCAAACAUUAACAUAGCAAUACUUAUAGGUAUAAGGAGCAAAUCAUUAAUCUUUCAAAGUAUAUGAUCCUCACAAUUUUUUUACCCCCAUCCAUCUUUAUUAUAUUAGCAAGGCAUGGCUCCAUAUUCACCACAUUAAUACAAAUGUAAAGCACCACUGUGUCCAUGUCAGGCAAUUGGAUCGUACUUUUUCAAUACUCAUCAACUUUUUAUUCUUCACGCAAUACAUGAGCGUGAACCAUUGGACAUAGCAUAAAGAUGUAAUAGAAUAUGGUGGUAGGUUUCAAAUGGGUAAAAGUGGAGAAGAUAGUCUCACAUCAACUAGGCGUACCAACGAGCUAUGGAGAUGCCUCUCGAUAGAUAUCAAUGCAGGGACUAGGGGUUGCCAUGCAAAUGCUGCACACGAGCUAUAAGUGUAUGAAAUCUCCAUUGAAGCCAAGUGGGGUGUGAAUCCAACUUGCUUGCUCACGAAGACCUCAGGAAUUUGAGGAAGCCCUUCAUAGGAAUAUACAAGGCAAGCUUAUGAAAAAGUGAUUCCCACUAGCAUAUGAAUGAUAUAACAUGAGACUCUCUAUAUGAAGAACAAGGUGCCACUUUGAGGCACAAGUGUGGUAAAGGAUAGCAGCAAAGUCCGUUCUCUCUUUUUCUCUCAUUCAUUUUUAUGGUGGGCCCAUUUGGCCUCCCCCAUCAUCACACUUUUAUUUACUUACAAGUCAAUAUGAAAAAUGAUAGGACUAUAUGACUCAGAAUGAAUGCCUCUGAGAGUGUACCAGGAUGUGCAAAGAUGUAGCAUGACAUGUAUCAAAAACAUGAUGAACGGUGACUUUUCCACAAAUACUAUGUCAUCUCUAUAUGAUCAUGCAAAUCAUUAUGAUGAUGAACGAACUAGUCAUGUGAAGUGACGAUGGUAUUUGCAUCGCAAUAUAUCUCGGAAUGGCUAUGGAAAUGCCAUGAUAGGUAGACAUGGUGGCUGUUUGGAGGAGAAUAUAAAAUGUUUAUGUCAAAUAGAGCCUGUCAUGUCACGGGGUUUGGAUGCACCGGCAAAAGUUGCAUCGAUCCUCAAGGUGAGAACGGGCGAUGCACCGUACCGAAGAGGCUAGCAAAUAUGAGGAGGUCAGAGUGCAUAUGUCCAUGGUGUCAUAUUAGUCAUGAAGAACUCAUAUACUUAUUGCAAAGUUUUAUUAGUUUUAUCACAAAUCAAAGUACUACUCGCAUGCCCCGAGGGAGAGGGUUGGUGGGAAUUAACCAUCGCGCGACUCCGACUCAAAACAACACAAGGAUUUCAAUGAGGAAUAGAAAUGCUCACACAUCAUCACCAUGCCUUUUAAUUUUUUAAAUGAACAAGAAGUUUAACAUCUCUUAAUAUCGACACCUAUCUGAAUUAAUAAUAAUGAACUCACACCUUUUUCACAUCACCACAUCAAUAUCAUUAACCCACAAUUUCUCUAUAUGUGCUACAUGAUGGUUUUUUAUCAUCAUUCAUUGGAUACUCAUUAUUUUUGAUCUAGUCUUAUGACCCAUGAAAAUUACCGUCACUAUUUUUUCCAGCUCUAAAAAAAUAUAAGUGAAGAAUGAGAGCAUAAUAUUUCUAUAAAAUCUACACGCCACUGUGCUCAAAAAGAUAAAAGUGAAGUACUAGGGCAACUGCUAAGCUCAAAAGAUAUAAGUGAACCACAUAGAGUAUUCUAACAAAUUGUGAUGAUGUGGUAUGUCUAUCAUAUAGGUGUGCUUGGGAAACAAUGAUUGUGGAAAACAAAAAUUAAAAGCAAACAAAAGCAAACAACGUUCCAAGCAAAACUCAUAUCAUGUGAUGAAUAAAAAUAUAGCUCCAAGUAACAUACAGAUGGAUUAAGACGAAAAUAGGGGAUGUCGUCCGGGGCAUCCCCAAGCUUAGACGCUUGAGUAUUCCUAGAAUAUUACCUUAGGGUUCCUUGGGCAUCCCCAAUCUUAAUAUUUUUGUGCUCCUCAAUCCUUUGUCCAUUGGGACAAUACCCAAAACUUGAAAACUUCAAGCACACAAAACAAAACUUCGUGAGAAUCGUUAGUAUAAGCAACAUAUCAAAUACUUUCAUGUGCUGUUAAAAAUUUAUUAUUAUUUUAUUUUAGAAUAGGUUAUUGUAUCUUAACUCCUCCAUGGCUUAUACCCCUGAUAUAAUCCAUAGCAUCAUCAAAACAAGCAAACUACACAUGCAAAAACAGAAUCAGACUGAAACGGAACAAUCUGUAGUAAUCUGUAAUGACCCUAUACUUAUGUAAUGCCAACAAUUCUGGAAAAUUAGGACGACUUGAGGAAUUUGUAUAUCAGUACUGCAUAAAACAUUUAGCUUAAAAAUACGUUCCAGUAAAAUCAGAGAAAUUCUGCACUAGACAUCAAAGUUUCUAUUUUUGCACCGUAUCAAUUCUACUCAUCAUGCAAAUCAUCCCAAAGGCUUAACUUGGCACAAAUACUAUUUAAACAUAAAACCACAAUCAUUACAGAGGCAAUAAUCAUGUUAUCACACACUAACAUAAAAUUAAAAGAAAAAUAAUAAUAUAACUAUUAGGUUGCCUCCCGACAAGCGCUACUGUUUUACACCCCUAGCUAUGCAUAUUGCAUAGUUUUGAAUGUUGUCAUCUUUCACACUCAUCUCAUGAUUGAUUCAUAUGGUGGUAUAAUUACUUUUCUAGGGAAUUGCUCCAUUCCUUUCUUUAAUGGAAAUUGAAACCUUAUAUUUCACUCUUUCAUGUCAAUGAUUGCACCUAUAGUUCGUAGGAAGGGUCUUCCAAGUAUAAUUGGACAAGUAGGGUUGCAAUCAAUAUCAAGCACAAUGAAAUCUACAGGAACAUAAUUUUUAUUUUCAAUAUCAGCACAUCAUUUAUUCUACCCAAGGUCUUCUUGAUGGUAGAAUCUGCAAGAUGCAAGUUUAGGGAACAUUCUUCAAUAUUAGUGAGACGAGACACAUCACAUAAAGUUAUAGGUAUAGUUGAAACACUAGCACCAAAGUCACACAAAGCAUUGCAUUCAUAUUUAUUUAUCUUAAUUUUGAUAGUAGCUUCCCACUCAUCAUGCAACUUUCUAGGAAUAGAAACUUCAAGCUCAAGUUUCUCAUCAUAAGAUUUCACCAUAGCUUCCAAUAUAUGUUGAGUAAACGCUUUGUUUUGUUUAUAAGCAUUGGGUGAGCUAAUAAUGGAUCACAACAAGGAAAUACAUUCUACUAAAGAGAAAUUAUAAUAAUUAAAGUCCUUGUAAUCAAAUAUAGUGGGCACAUCGCUAGUUAAAGUUUUGACCUCUCCAAACCCACUUUUUCAGUUUUACCAUUAAAAUCAUCACCCUCCAAGCAAAUGGGGCGCUAUUUUACUAGAGUUGACUCACCUCUAGUACCUUUAUCUUUAACAUUCAUAGAGGUAUAUAAAGAUUCAAUAGGAGAAGUACCAAUCAUUUUAAGAUCUCCAUCAUGGUUUGUAAUGGGAAAAUAUUCACGUUUAGCAGCCAUCCCAUUUACUAGAGUGGUUUGCUUAUCGGAGAUUUUUCCUAAUAACUCUUCAGUGAUAGAAACUUGUGAUUAGAGUCUAGACACUUCUUUAUUAAAUUCAUCAAGUUGUUUACUUAUAGCAUCUAACAAGGUUGAAUGUUCCUUUACCUUAGAAGCAAAGAAAUUAUUGUGGUCAUAUUGCAAAGUCAUGAAGGUAUUCAUGGAACCUUCUAUUUUGGACAUCCUUUGAUAAUAAGAGAUAGUGUGAAAUCUAUCUUGAGACAUGGUGAGCGAGCAAGCAAAGUAACAAGAAAGACACACAAACUAGAGGGCGAAGAUGCAGUCUAGUUACAGGCUAAGCAAGCAAAGAUAAAUAUUUUCAUAUUUUUAUUUUUUAUAAGACAAACUAAAUAUACCAGCAAAUAUAAAGAGGAACAAGUGAAUGAAAUUUUGUGUGGAGUUACUUGGUAAUUGGUGAUGAUAUUCCCCGGCAACGGCGCCACAAAUCCGUCGUGAUACUCAUGAUCUGCGUUGGAUUUUCCGUGAAGAGGAACGGGUUAUCGCAACACAUAGUGGGCAAGUAUUUCCCUCAGUUAUGAAACCAAGGUUUGUCGAACCAAUAGUAACAUCAACCAAAACCGUCUUCAACAGCUGCACACAAAAGAACAAACAACUUGCACCCAACACGGGCAAUAGGGUUGUCAAUCCUCUUGUUUUGUUAUUUGCAAGCAAGUGAGGUGUGUAGAUAAUUCUAGAUAGCAAUAUAAAAUAAAAAUAAGAAUAACAACAAGGUAAUGAAGGUUUUAUCAAUAUGUUGUGAAUAGACCAGGGGGGCAUUGCUUUCCCUACUAGCAUCUCUCGUGAAAAAUAACAUAAGGUGAGUGAACAUAUUAAUGUUGGGCAAUUGACAGAAAAGCGGAUAGUUAUGCGUUAUUCACGGCAAUGAUCAUGUAAUCCCUCUGGUUCUUUUUCUUUGCAUUUAAGCUCCAUCCCGGAUACCAAGGAGAGGAGAGUUGAGAAAAUUUAGGACUAGUUUGCCCUUGCGUUGCUACAGAGGAGAUGCUGAGCAGUUACUCCAUGCAUGCGAAUGAUUGGCGUGCAACCCUAUAUUCUUGCUCCCACAUAACUCCUCUCUCCAUCUUUCUGCAUGUGUCUCUCUCCUCUCCAUAUCUCAUGCAUGCACCUCUCUCUCUCUCCGGUUCUGCAUGCAUGCACAUCUCUCUCCUUUCCAUCUCUCUGUAUGUGCUUCUCUCUCUCUAUACAAAAUCUUCUCGCCUUCCGCGCCAAUCUCUCACCCAUUGCAUGCCCUAUGAGCAGGAAGAACAUGAGCGGCGUUUGAGCUGGUGGAGUUGGAUCCAAAACAAUUCAUUCAAUUUGAUGAAAUUUUUCCGCCAAAAUUUCCAACUCCCUCCAAAACUGAACAACCCGCCAUGGAUUAGCUCCAAAUUUAGCUUACCUCCAUGGCUAGACUCAAAAGUUUUGUCUAUAAAUCCCUGCCCCAGCCAUGAACAGAACCAUACAAAAUUCUCUCGUCACUCUCUUUGUUCCUCAAUUUGGCCAUCGACUCGGACGAGGUGGAGGAUCAAUAUGAUGGUCAUCCUGAGGACAUCAACUACGUCUACGUAUUCGAGGAGAUCGACGGUGGUAUGAACUGAUUGUUCUUGUUUCAUUUUACUCCAUUUAUUUUGUUCUAUUUGAUCACUUUUGAACGUCCAAAUCAACUACACAAAAUGAAGCCGUCGAGAAAAACCAGCAGGCCAGCGGAAGCGAUGGCAAUGGCAACACCGGUCAGCCAGCGGACUUGGAGGUGCAAGGCGGAAGUAGCGGCGCUCGUCUGAGCCGCACCGACCACGUGCACGAUGCGAACUCUAAAGGCGGCGGUGGCGACACGGACCACGUUAACAACGAGGACACCUCCAGUGAAAGAAGCAGCAGCCACAACCGUGGCCACUCUUGUCUAGGCUUGACCGGUCGUGGGCUCCGCAACAUGGACCACAAAAGAGGCCUACAAGUCACCGGCAGAGGAAACAUGCAAGUCACCGGUGGAGGAGAUGUAGCCCCUGAUCGUGGAUGGCUAGGCCUCCCUGUCCACGGGCGAUCUCACGCUGGCACGAUCCAGUGGUAGCCAGAGCACCCUUUCGUGACUGGACGAGGACAUGGAAGAGGCGCGCCAUCGGGUCGCGGUCGCGGCAGGCUUGGCAUGGUUGGGCGUGGUCGUGCUCGAUGGUGCCAACUUCCUGACUUGAACGUUGCUGCAUGCGAGGAUGUGGAAGAGAAUGGUGAAGCUCACACAGGUGACCCCAUGCAUGGUGAGAAACUUGCCCAGCACCGGCGGGCAAUUCUAUUUGGUUGGUUGAUUCAAUUAACUAAUGAAAAUUUGGUUUGUUUUUUUGUAAAAUUUCAAAUCUGACUUUAAAUUUUCUUUAGGGAAUAAUCCACAACCUCCACAGCCACGUGAGUGGAGUGACAUAGCUAAGCUCACCGCCUAUGUCAUGUUGUUGGAGAGGACAAGUCUAGGAAUUAUGAAGCGUCGAGUGACCAAGGAAGUGUCUCGUUUGACUGGUAUGCCACAUAGAACUGUCCAUGACUUACGGAACAAGGGAAAGUUAUAUGGAGGGAUGCUUGGAGUGUUUAAUAAGAAGCCAAAAAUUGUGGUCAUAAAAGGAUAGCCAUCUACUCGGAGUCUAUGAAGGUAGUCAACAAUAGGAAGAGAACAACCAUCAAAGACCUCGCAAACGAGUUAAAUGUGUCCAAAACCAUGGUUUGGAGGAGGCUUAAAGAGAAGUAGAUUAGACGCCACAACAAUUCCAUCAAGGAACUCUCACUGAUUUGAACAAGAGACCUAGGGUUGAGUGGUGCUUCUCGCAGUUUCAGGAAGAGAGCCUACAAGAACAUCCGUCUUUUAAAGAAAUGUACAAUGUCAUUCAUAUAGAUGCGAAAUGGUUCUAUCGCACUAAGAAGUCUCUCAAGCUAUACAUGGCAGUAGAUGAGGAAGAACCAGAACGGUUCACGUAGAACAAGAAUUAUAUAGAGAGGGUUAAGUUUCUCGUAGCUGUAGCACACCCUUGCUUUGAUGUGAAUGAUAAUGCGACGUUUGAUGGUAAAAUUGGAAUAUGGCCAUUCACUUUUCAGGAAGCGACUAAAAGGGAUAGUCCUAACGCUCUAACCGAGACAAUUGUGACAAAGGUCAUCCCCAAGGUGACAAGGUAUGUGAGUAGAGACUUCUUAGUGAACAAGGUUAUCCCCGCGAUCAAGGCAAAGUGGCCUCCUGAACGUGGGCAUCCUAUAUUCAUCGAGCAAGAUAAUGCUAGGACUCACGUGAAUGUUGAUGAUUCGGUUUUCCUUGCCGCGGCCCAAGCGGAUGGGUGGCACAUUUGUUUGGUGUGUCAGCCACAGAACUUGCCAGAUCUUAACAUGCUUGAUCUUGGUUUCUUUGCUGCCUUGUAGUCAUUGUUCCAGAAUCUAUUUCCUGGUUCCAUCGAUGACAUAAUUAUGAAGGUGUGCCAAGCAUUUGGUCAGUACCCCGCCGAGAGGUGCAACCAAAUAUUUCUCACUCUACAAUCUUGCAUGCGUGAGCUUCUAAAGUACAAUGCAGGCCAACACUACAAUGUGCCGUAUAUGAGAAAGAAAGUCCUUCAACAUCUUCAUAUCUUAUCGGUGACGUUGCCUUGUGAUUGAUCCAUCACGGACAAAGCGAGGGCAUUCUUACUUGAGUAGUGUUGUGUUGUCUUGUUGAUGUAAGGUUAGUGCUAUGUUGUCUUGUUGAUGUAAUGGGAUCAUGUAAUCCAUCUUUUGUUGCAAUGAGAAUGAACAUUUGGUUUGAGAGAAAAAUAUGAUCAAAGUUAACAUCACAUCCAAUGACCGAUAACAAAAUUAACAUCACAUGAUAAAAGAAACAACCGCUACUUGAACCAUCUAUGCAUGCAUCAUCACAUAUUCUUCGAUCAAGUUCAACAAAAGAGAGAACCACUAUUGGAACCACUACUUGUGAAGUCCAUGAUCAGUGUUGGAUCAUUUUAAAAUUUCCUUGAGUUCAUCCUUAUCAAAUUAUCUCAAUAGUAAAUGCUCAUCAGUUCUAGCCUGACCUCUUCUGCGCCGAGAGGCACAAAGAAUUGCUCGAGCGGCAGCAAUGGGUCGCCAUCAACCAUCUUGCCACACUUUAGUCCAUCGUAGAUGCCACUAUCAUCGACGAGCGCAUGAUGGCCAUCCUCGUCCACUAGGUUAGCACCAUCCACCUUGAUGCCCAUGUCGGCGAGCUCGCGCACCAGUUCGGUGAGCCGGUGCACCUUGUUGGCCAGCAUGUUCACCUUGUCGACCAGCGCGCGUGCGACGUGCUCAAGUGCAUGGAUGCGACCGUCGUUCGGGUGCAUGCUAUAGUCCGUGAACGCACCACCUUCCACGACUGUGUCGCUGUCUGUGGGCACACUGCCUUCCAUGACUGCAUUGCCAUCCGCGAGCGGCAGCAUGCCAUUGUCCGCAGACAUGCUGCCUUCCAUGAAUGCGUCACCAUCCGAGAGUGGGAGGACUUCGUCGUCCACGAGGGUGCUGCCCUUUGGGAGCGAUACAAUGGCACUACUCGUGAGGACAUCGCCUACGGGGAGCACGCCUUCGUACGUGAGCUCGCUGUCGUCCACAUCGAGCAAGCUGUCCUCCACGAGCAAACUUUCAUGCAUGGACUCACUAUCCUCUAUAGGUUGGCUGUCCUCCCACAAUCAUGAUGGGUAGAUUUCAUCCAUGCAGAUGUAGGGGGUGUGGAGGAGAAGGUAGAGUGGUAUGUGGAGGAUCGGAAGGUGAGAUGAGACCGGUGGGAAGGAGAGGAAGAGGCAGGCGACUAGCUGCCUUGGGAAGAGGCGAUGGAUGUGCAUGGGCGAGAGAUGUAGUAAUUGCGACCACGCGUGCGAGUCAACGAAAAGGAGGGGCAAAGUUGGAAAGAACAACCAAAAGAAGCCAGUACACACAACAUUGAGGAAAAAUGGAUUGUUCUUAAACACAAAGAAAAAGGACCGGAGGGAAUAUAUAUAGGCAUCACGUCCGUAAAAAAAUAGGCCGACUCCUGCGUGCACCUAUUAUUAUUACUCCAUUCAUCGACUACUAUCCAGCCUGCAUCUAGAGUAUUAAGUAAAACAGAGUAAUGCAUGGAGAACAAUGACAUGAUGUAGACAAAGUAAAAUCAAGCAACAUGAAUAAACCUCAUCGUUUUAUCCUUAGUAGUAGCAAGACAAAGACGCAUCUUGUCCCCUUCUAUCACUGGGAUAUAGAAAUUUGCCAGGUUGAACCUACCACAACAAACCUCUCUCAUCGAAGAAAUAUCAAUCUAGUUGGCCAAACUAUUUCAAUAGAUUGGAGAGAAUUACGAAGCUAUCAUAAUCAUGCACAUAAGAAUCAUAUAAGUAUUCAGAGGUGACUGGAAUAUUUAUCACGAAUAAUGUGAACAUAAACUCACAAUUCGUCGGAUCCCAAAAAACGCAUUGUACAAAAGGAAUUACAUCAUAUGGAUCAAAGUAAAGAUGUGAUGAUCAUUGUAUCGAAGAUCAAAGAGAGAGAGAGAUUGACAUCUAGGUAUUGACUAUGGACCCGUAGGUUUGUGGUGAACUACUCACACAUCAUUGUGAGGGCAACAAGGUUGAUGAAGAGGCCCUCCGUGACCGACCCCCUACGACAGGGUGCCGGAACGGAGCUCCAGAUGGCCUACCGUCAGAAUAGAGACUUGCGGCGGUGUAAAAAGUGUUUCAGGACUCCCUCUAAUGUUUUUAGGGUAGAUGCGAAUUUAUAAGCCAAAGAACGGAUUUGGGAUGGCCACGAGGGAGGCACAAACCAUUAGGGCGUGCCCCCCAGCCCGCGCCCUGUUGGCUUGUGGGGCCCUCGUGAGGCCUCUGUUAGUGCAUAUUUCUCCAUAUGUGCCUCGUGACAAUCUCUAUGGACUAAUGGUUGCAUUAAGUUAUAUUCGAAGGAUUUGCCCAUAGGCACUUCUUGAAGUCCAGUUGUUGGUUUCAAGGAGUUUAUAUGAUGACCAAGGUGAUAUUCAAGGUAUUAUCCAAAGAAUGGUCAUAAAGACACAAGGUUGAUCAAGACUAAGACAGAGAGUAAAUCAAGUUGAUCAACACACAAAGCGUACAAGAUGUACCGAUAGGGAUCAAGUGAUCCCAUGGCAUGGUGAGCAUUGUCCAUUACGCUUUUGUGUACUAAUCCAUGGUCUUCGUGAGAGUUCUAUGUGGGGUUAGGUGUGUGUUGGAAAUAUGCCCUAGAGGCAAAAAUAAAUUAGUUAUUAUUAUAUUUCUUAGUUCAUGAUAAUCAUUUAUUAUCCAUGCUAUAAUUGUAUUGAAUGAAGACUUAUAUACAUGUGUGGAUACAUAGAAAAAACACUGUCCCUAGCAAGCCUCUAGUUGGCUAGCCAGUUGAUCAAAGNAUACGGGAUUAUAUGAAUCCUUGGCACUGAGGUUCAAACGAUAAAGAUCUUCGUAGAAUAUGUGGGAUCCAAUAUGGGCAUCCAGGUCCCGCUAUUGGAUAUUGACCGAGGAGUCACUCGGGUCAUGUCUGCAUAGUUCUCGAACCCGCACGGUCUGCACACUUAAGGUUCGACGUUGUUUUAUGCGUAUUUGAGUUAUAUGGUUGGNNNNNNNNNNNNNNNNNNNNNNNNNNNNNNNNNNNNNNNNNNNNNNNNNNNNNNNNNNNNNNNNNNNNNNNNNNNNNNNNNNNNNNNNNNNNNNNNNNNNNNNNNNNNNNNNNNNNNNNNNNNNNNNNNNNNNNNNNNNNNNNNNNNNNNNNNNNNNNNNNNNNNNNNNNNNNNNNNNNNNNNNNNNNNNNNNNNNNNNNNNNNNNNNNNNNNNNNNNNNNNNNNNNNNNNNNNNNNNNNNNNNNNNNNNNNNNNNNNNNNNNNNNNNNNNNNNNNNNNNNNNNNNNNNNNNNNNNNNNNNNNNNNNNNNNNNNNNNNNNNNNNNNNNNNNNNNNNNNNNNNNNNNNNNNNNNNNNNNNNNNNNNNNNNNNNNNNNNNNNNNNNNNNNNNNNNNNNNNNNNNNNNNNNNNNNNNNNNNNNNNNNNNNNNNNNNNNNNNNNNNNNNNNUGAUAUAUAGGAUGACCUCAUUUGAUUACCGGAAGUUUUUCGGAGUUACCGGGAAUGUACCGGGAAUGACGAAUGGGUUCCGGGUGUUCACCGGGGGGGCAACCCACCCCGGGGAAGUCCAUAGGCCUUGGGAGUGGCGCACCAGCCCUUAGUGGGCUGGUGGGACAGCCCAAGAAGGCCCUAUGCGCCAUAGGAAGAAAAUCAAAGAGAAAAGAAAAAAAGGAGGAGGUGGGAAAGGGAAGAAGGACUCCACCUUCCAAACCAAGUUGGAUUCGGUUUGGAAGGGGAGACCUUCCCCCCUUUGGCUCGGCUGACCCCCUUAGGGCUCCUUGAGCCCCAAGGCAAGGCCCCCCCUCUCCCACCUAUAUAUACGGAGGUUUUAGGGCUGAUUUGAGACAACUUUGCCAUGGCAGCCCGACCACAUACCUCCACGGUUUUUCCUCUAGAUCGCGUUUCUGCGGAGCUCGGGCGGAGCCCUGCUGACAUAAGAUCACCACCAACCUCCGGAGCACCGUCAUGCUGCCGGAGAACUCAUCUACCUCUCCGUCUCUCUUGCUGGAUCAAGAAGGCCGAGAUCAUAGUCGAGCUGUACGUGUGCUCUACGCAGAGGUGCCGUCCGUUUGGUACUAGAUCGUGGGACUGAUCGCGGGACGGUUCGCGGGGCGGAUCGAGGGAAGUGAGGACGUUCCACUACAUCAACCGCGUUCACUAACGCUUCUGCUGUGCGAUCUACAAGGGUACGUAGAUCGAACAUCCCCUCUCGUAGAUGGACAUCACCAUGAUAAGUCUUCGUGCGCGUAGGAAAUUUUUUGUUUCCCAUGCGACGUUCCCCAACAGUGGUAUCAGAGCUAGGUUCAUGCGUAGAUGUCUUCUCGAGUAGAACACAAAAGUUUUUGUGGGCAGUGAUGUGCGUUUUGCUGCCCUCCUUAGUCUUUUCUUGAUUCCGCGGUAUUGUUGGAUCGAAGCGGCUCGGACCAACAUUACUCGUACGCUUACGAGAGACUGGUUUCAUCGCUAUGAGUAACUCCGUUGCUCAAAGAUGACUGGCGGGUGUCAGUUUCUCCAACUUUAGUUGAAUCGGAAUUGACCGAGGAGGUCCUUGGAUGAGUUUAAAUAGCAAUUCAUAUAUCUCCGUUGUGGUGUUUACGUAAGUAAGAUGUGAUCCUACUAGAUACCCAUGGUCACCACGUAAAAGAUGCAACAACAAAAUUAGAGGACGUCUAACUUGUUUUUGCAGGGUAUGCUUGUGAUGUGAUAUGGCCAACGAUGCGAUGUGAUAUAUUGGAUGUAUGAGAUGAUCAUGUUGUAAUAGUUAAUAUCGACUUGCACGUCGAUGGUACGGCAACCGGCAGGAGCCAUAGGGUUGUAUUUAAACUAACGUUUGUGCUUGCAUAUGUGUUUACUAUAUUGCUAGGACGUAGCUUUAGUAGUAAUAGCAUGAGUAGCACGACAACCCCGAUGGCGACACGUUGAUGGAGAUCAUGGUGUGACGCCGGUGACAAGAAGAUCGUGUCGGUGCUUUGGUGAUGGAGAUCAAGAAGCACGUGAUGAUGGCCAUAUCAUGUCACUUAUGAAUUGCAUGUGAUGUUAAUCCUUUUUGCACCUUAUCUCGCUUAGAACGACGGUAGCAUUAUCAGGUGAUCUCCCACUAAAAUUUCAAGACGAAAUUGUGUUCUCCCCGACUAUGCACUGUUGCGACAGUUCUUCGUUUCCAGACACCACGUGAUGAUCGGGUGUGAUAGACUCAACGUUCACAUACAACGGGUGCAAAACAGUUGCACACGCAGAACACUCGGGUUAAGCUUGACGAGCCUAGCAUGUGCAGACAUGGCCUCGGAACACAUGAGACCGAAAGGUCGAGCAUGAAUCGUAUAGUUGAUAUGAUUAGCAUAGAGAUGCUUACCACUGAAACUAUUCUCGACUCACGUGAUGAUCGGACUUGAGAUAGUGGAUUUGGAUCAUGUACCACUCAAAUGACUAGAGAGAUGUACUUUUUGAGUGGGAGUUCUUAAGUAAUAUGAUUAAUUGAACUAAUUGUCAUGAACAUAGUCUAAUGGUCUUUGCGAAUUACGAUGUAGCUUGCGCUAUAGCUCUACUGUUUUUAUAUGUUCCUAGAGAAAAUUUAGUUGAAAGUUGAUAGUAGCAAACUUUGCAGACUAAGUCUGUAAAACCGAGGAUUGUCCUCGUUGCUGCGUAGAAGGCUUAUGUCCUUAAUGCACCACUCGGUGUGCUGCACCUCGAGCGUCGUCUGUGGAUGCUGUGAACAUCCGACAUACACGUUUCUGAUGACUACACGAUAGUUCAGUGCAAAAUAUUUGAUGGCUUAGAAGCAAGGCACUGAAGACGUUUUGAAACGUCACGGAACAUAAGUGAUGUUCUAAAGAGAUGAAAUUGUGAUUUCAUGCUCGUGCCCUUGUUGAGAGGUACGAGACCUCCGACAAGAUUCUUUGUCCACAAAGUAAAGGAGAAAAGCUCAAUCGUUGAGCGUGUGCUCAGAUUGUCUGAGUACGACAAUCACUUGAAUCAAGUGGGAGUCAAUCUUCCACAUGAGAUAGUGAUGAUUCUCCAAAGUCACUGCCACCAAGCUGUGAGAGCUUCGUGAUGAACUAUAACAUAUCAAGGAUAUAUACAAUGAUCCUUGAGCGAUUCACGAUGUUUGACACUGCGAAAGUAGAAAUCAAGAAGGAGCAUCAAUAGUUGAUGGUUUGUAAAACCACUAAGUUUCAAGAAAGGCAAGGGCUAGAAGGGAUACUUCGUGAAACGGCAAAACAGUUGCUGCAAUAAUGAAGAGACCCAAGAUUAAACCCAAACCCGAGACUAAGUGCUUCUGUAAUGAGGGGAACAGUCACUGAGGCGGAGCGACUCUAGAUACUUGGUAGAUAAGAAGGCUGGCAAAAGUCGAAAGAAGUAUAUUUGAUAUACAUGAUGUUGAUGUGUACUUUACUAGUACUCCUAGUAGCAUGAGGGUAUUGGAUACCGGUUCCGUUGCUAAGCGAUUAGUAACACGAAAUGAAAGCUACGUCAUAAACGGAGACUAGCUAAAGGCGAGGUGACGAUACGUGUUGGAAGUGUUUCCAAGGUUGAUAUGAUCAAACGUCGCACGCUCCCUCUACCAUCGGGAUUGGUGUUAAACCUAAAUAAUUGUUAUUUGGUGCUUGCGUUAAGCAUGAACAUGGUUGGAUCGUGUUUAUUGCAAUACGAUUGUUCAUUUAAAGAGAAUAAUGGUUACUCUAUUUUCUUGAAUAAUCACCUUCAAUGGUUUAUUGAAUCUCGAUUGUAGUGUUACACAUGUUCAUGAUAUUGGUGCCAAAAGAUACGAGGUAAUGAUGAUAGUACCACUUACUUGUGGCACUGCCGCUUGAGUCAAGUUGGUAUAAAUUGCAUGAAGAGGCCCCAUGCUGAUGGAUCUUUAUACUCACUGGAUUUUGAAUCACUAGUGACAUGCAAAUCAUACCACAUGAGCAAGGCCUUGUUUUCAUUGAGAUGAAAUAAGAUAGUAACUUGUUGGAAGUGAUACAUUUUGAUGUAUGCGGUCCAAUGGGUGCUGAGGCACGCAGUGGAUAUCAUUAUAUUCUUACUUCAAUGACGAUUUGAGUAGAUACUAGAGUAUUUGCUUAAUGAAUCACAAGUCUGAAAUAUUGAAAAGUUCAAUUCUGUUUCGGAGUGAGGUUCGUCGUAACAAGAGGAUAAAUUGUCUAUGAUAUGAUCACAGAAAUGAAUAUCUGAGUUACGAGUUUUGGUACGCAGUUAAGACAAUGUGGAAAUUGUUUCGCGGUUCAUGCCACCUAGAACAUCAUAGUGUGAUGAUGUGUCUGAACGUCAUAGCCACACACUAUUUGGUAUGGUGCAUGCUAUGAUGUCUCUUAUCGAAUUACCACUAUCGUUUGUGGGUUAAGCAUUAGAGACAACCGCAUUCACUUUAAAUAGGGCACCACGUAUUUCCGUUGAGAUGACACAGUAUAGACUGAGGUUUAGAGAAAUCUAAACUGUCGUUUCUUGAAAGUUUGGGGUUUCGACACUUAUGUGAAAAAGUUUCAGUCUGAUAAAGCUCGAACCCAAAGCGGAUAAAUGCAUCUUCAUAGGAUAUCCAAAACAUUUGGGUACAUCUCCUAUCUCAGAUCCGAAAGCAAAGUGUUUGUUUCUAGAAACGGAUCCUUUCUCGAGGAAAGGUUUCUCUCGAAAGAAUUGAGUGGGAGGGUGGUAGAACUUGAUGAGGUUAUUGAACCGUCACUUUGACCAGUGUGUAGCAGGGCGCAGGAAGUUGUUCCUGUGGCGCCUACACCAAUUGAAGUGAAAGCUGAUGAGGGUGAUCAUCGAGCAUCGGAUCAAGUUACUACAAACCUCGUAGGUUGACAAGGUCGCGUACUACUGCAGAGUGGUACGGUAACCCUGUCUUGGAGCUCAUGUUGUUGAGCAACAGUGAACCUACGAGUUAUGGAGAAGCAAUGGUGGGCCCGGAUUCCGACAAAUGGCUUGAGGCCAUGAAAUCCGAGAGAGGAUCCAUAUAUAAAACAAAGUGUAGACUUUGGAGGAACAACUUGAUGGUAGUAAGACUAUUGAGUAAAGAUGGAUCUUUGUAAGGAAGACAGACGACGAUGGUGAUAAGUCACUAUUAAGAAAAGCUCGACUUGUCGCAAAGAUGUUUCUGACAAGAUCAAACAGUUGACUAUGAUGAGACUUUCUCACUCGUAGCGAUGCUAAAAGUCUGUUGGAAUUAUGUUAGUAGUUGCUGCAUUAUUUAUGAAAUAUUGCACAUAGGAUGUCAAAACAUUGUUUCCUCAACGGUUUCCUUGAGCAAACAUUGUAUGUGAUACAACCAGAAGGUUUUGUCGAUCCUAAAGAUACUAACAAGUAUGCAAGCUCCAGUGAUCCUUCAAUGGACUGGUGCAAGCAUCUCGGAGUUGGAAUAUACACUUUGAUGAGGUGAUCAAAGAUUUUGGGUUUGUACAAGGUUUAUGAGAAACUUGUAUUUCCAAAGAAGUGAGUGGGAGCACUAUAGAAUUUCUGAUAAGUAUAUGUGGUUGACAUAUUGUGGAUCAGAAGUAAUGUAGAAUUUCUGUAAAGCAUACAAGGUUGUUUGAAAGGAGUUUUCAAAGGAAUACCUGGAUUGAGCUACUUGAACAUUGAGCAUCAAGAUCUAUGGAGAUAGAUCAAAACGCUUAAUAGAAGUUUCAACAAAAUGCAUGCCUUGACAAGUUUUGAAGGAGUUCAAAAUAGAUCAGCAAAGAAGGAGUUCUUGGUUGCGUUGUGAGGUGUGAAUUUGAGUAAGACUCGAAACCCGACCACGACAGAAUAAAGAGAAUAGACGAAGGUUGUCUUCUAUGCCUUAGCUGUAGACUCUAAAGUAUGCCAUGCUGAGUACCGCACCUGAUGUGUGCCUUGCACUCUGUGGAGAGGUACAGAGAGUGAUCCAUGAUUGAAUCACUAGCAGCGGUCAAAAUUUGUCCUUAGUAACUGAUAGACUAAGGAAUUUUCUCGAUUAUGGAGGUGGUUAAAGAGUUCAUCGUAAAGGGUUACGUCGAUGCAAGCUUUGACACUAAUCCGAAUAACUAUGAGCAGUGAAACGGAUUCGUAUAGUAGAGUAGAUAUUUGGAGUAUUUCCGAAUAGCACAUAGUACUAGCAUCUAUAAGAUGACAUAAAGAUUUGUAAAGAACACACGGACCUGAAAGUUUCAGAACCGUUGACUAAAACCUCUCUCACGAGCAAGACGUGAUCAGACCCCAUAAAUAUAUGGGUGUUGGAUUCGUUGGAAUCACAUGGUGAUGUGAACUAGAUUAUUGACUCUAGUGCAAGUGGGAGACUGUUGGAAAUAUGCCCUAGAGGCAAUAAUAAAUUAGUUAUUAUUAUAUUUCUUAGUUCAUGAUAAUCGUUUAUUAUCCAUGCUAUAAUUGUAUUGAAUGAAGACUUAUAUACAUGUGUGGAUACAUAGACAAAACACUGUCCCUAGCAAGCCUCUAGUUGGUUAGCCAGUUGAUCAAAGAUAGUCAGGGUCUUCUGAUUAUGAACAAGGUGUUGUUGCUUGAUAACUGGAUCACGUCAUUAGGAGAAUCACGUGAUGGACUAGACCCAAACUAAUAGACGUAGCNNNNNNNNNNNNNNNNNNNNNNNNNNNNNNNNNNNNNNNNNNNNNNNNNNNNNNNNNNNNNNNNNNNNNNNNNNNNNNNNNNNNNNNNNNNNNNNNNNNNNNNNNNNNNNNNNNNNNNNNNNNNNNNNNNNNNNNNNNNNNNNNNNNNNNNNNNNNNNNNNNNNNNNNNNNNNNNNNNNNNNNNNNNNNNNNNNNNNNNNNNNNNNNNNNNNNNNNNNNNNNNNNNNNNNNNNNNNNNNNNNNNNNNNNNNNNNNNNNNNNNNNNNNNNNNNNNNNNNNNNNNNNNNNNNNNNNNNNNNNNNNNNNNNNNNNNNNNNNNNNNNACUAGAUCGUGGGACUGAUCGGGGGAUGGUUCGCGGGGCGGAUCGAGGGACGUGAGGACGUUCCACUACAUCAACCGCGUUCACUAACGCUUCUGCUGUGCGGUCUACAAGGGUACGUAGAUCGAACAUCCCCUCUCGUAGAUGGACAUCACCAUGAUAGGUCUUCAUGCGCGUAGGAAAUUUUUUGUUUCCCAUGCGACGUUCCCCAACAUUGUGUUUCCAUGGGAUUGUGUCAAGAGUAAGGUCUCAUUCGACCCAUCAAGGAUGACAUCAAGUGGUGAUCGUCAUCAAGAUUGCGGUGUGCAAGUUCAAGUGAAGCAUCACGAAGAUAGCAUGCUUGAAGCUUGUCGUUCAUUGUGGUGGCAAUGGACUUGUGAAGAUGUGUUGAAGAGUGGCUCACCCAUGGUGAGUAUGGGGGUGCAAUCAACUAGUCUUCAUCAACCCAACGCAAUCAAGAAAGGUGGUUCAUCUUGAGGAAUUCGAGAUCGUCAACAUCUAGCUCAAGUGGACUAUGUGAAAGGUAUAGGUUUGCCCUUGAUAGGUUUUCCAAUUUUAGGAUAGAUUUGUGUACUGUCAAGGGGGGCUCUCAAGUGAGUAGCUUGAUCGUAUCGUUCAUUAAGAGCUCAAACCAUUUGCAUCCUUGCAUCAUAUUUCUGGGUUCUUGUUUGUUGUCUCUCUUUGUGAGUUUUAGAGCUUUUGGUCAUCUUUAUGACAAGCUCGAGGUCAUCAAAAAUGGAGUUCAUGUGCAUCUUCUAUGAUGUUUGGAGCUUUUGCCGAUUAUUCAUUCAUAGAGGUUUCACAUAUCUAUAUCAUUGGUGUUUUCAUAACUGCAUGUUCUUGAUCCAACAAGCUUGAGUUUGCUCAAUUCGGAGCUCGUAUUUGAAAGUUAUGGCAGUUCUGGGCAAGUUUUCUCUCUCAAGCGGAAGUACCACUCGGGCAGAGCGCCCUCCCCUACCGUCCUCUCUUGCACUUAUAAUUUCUCUCUGGUUUCAUCGAUGCGCUUUUCCACUUUGAGCGGAAGUACCGCUCCAGCGGUACUGCCGCCCUCCCCUUCCGUCCCUACUUCCGCUUGUUUUUUCUCUCUGGCUUCCGAUGGGCCGUUGCCCUUUUAAGCGGAAGUACCUCUUGGGUUGGGCAGUACUACCGCCCAGCGAUAGUACCUCUCACCCCAACGGUAGUACCGCUUGUGCAUGACUUGUGCACACAACGGUUGGAUUUGGGGAGGCCUAUAAAAGGAGGUCUUCUUCCCCAAUUGUUAUCUAUUCGUUGAGCUUGUAUUCCUCCCCCCAUUGUUGACCUUCUUUGAGCUUGCUAACUCUAAAUCCCUCCAAUGAUUCUUGUUAGUUCUUGAGUGAAGAGAGAGAGAAGAUCUAGAUCCACAUUUCCACCAAUCACUUUCUCCUCUAUGUGAGGGGAACCCCCUGGAUCUUGAUCUUGGAGUUCUUUGUGAGCUCCUUGUUCUUCCUCUCAUAUUCCUCCAUAGCUUUUGUUGUUGUGGAGGGAUUUGAGUGUGAGGGACUUGACCACUUCGUGUGUUCUUGCCAUUGCAUUAGUUGCAUCGGUUUGAGUUCUCCACGGUGAUACGUGGAAGUGAAGUCUAUGAAGCUUAUUACCCUUGGGUGCUUGGUAUCCUAGAAAUUGUUCUAUGUGGAUGCUUUGGCGUCCUAGAAGCUUGGUGGUGCCUCGGAGCUCAAUCAUUGUGGUGUAAAGCUCUGGGCAAGCGUCGGGGGUAUACAAUUAGGUUGUGGAGAUUGCCCUAAGCAUUCGAGGUCAUCUCGGAGCCACAGUCCAUUGUGGUGAAGCUUCGUGGUGUUGUUGGGAGCCUCCAAUUAAGUUGUGGAGAUUUCUCCAUCCUUGUUUGUACGGGUUCGGUGACCACCAUCAAGGGUCCCUUAGUGGAAUCACGUCUUCUUGCAUUGUGUGAGGGCGUGAGGAGAUUACGGUGGCCUUAGUGCCUUCUUGGGGAGCAUUGUGCCUCCACACCGCUCCAAACGGAGAUUAUCACCCGCAAGGGUGUGAACUUCGGGAUACAUCAUCGUCUCCGUGUGCCUCGUUUAUCUUUUACCCGAGCCCUUUACUUAUGCACUUUACUUUGUGAUAGCCAUAUUGUUUCUUGUUAUAUAUCUUGCUAUCACUUAGUUGUUUAUCUUGCUUAGCAUAAGUUGUUGGUGCACAUAGGUGAGCCUAGUUGUUUUAGGUUUUGUGCUUGACAAAUUAAACGUUAGUUUUAUUCCGUAUUUGUUCAAGCCUAAACCGUAAUUAUUUUAAAGGGCCUAUUCACCCUCCUCUAGGCGACAUCCACGUCCUUUCAGCCUUCAACCUUCUUCCGAUGCUUCUCGAUCUUCUUUUGGUCCAGGAAAAAUCACCAAAAAGUUUCACAACAAUUGGACCUCACUUGGUAUAGAAAACCCGCAAAGUGAAAAACACGUAGAAAACAACAACUAGCAAUGGGCACGCGGUCAAUAGGUUAGUGCUCAAAAAUAAUAUAAAAUGGUAAAUAGAUACCCCAAAAGUAUUCUAGAAUGCUAAUGUAUCAGCAUGGAACAAUAAAAAAUUAUAGAUACGUUGGAGACGUAUCAGAGGGCAGCCAACACACGAAAGCCUUGGUGGCGCCCUCCCUCUCUCUCUAGUAGUUUUUCUCAUCCGUCGCAUCGCGGCAGCGCUUGGAGAAGCCCUGAUGAGAUCGCACCACCAUCACCGUCACCAUGUCGUCGUGUUGCUGAAGAACUCAUCUACUUCUCCACAUACGCUCGCUGGAUCGAGGAGGUGGAGACAUCGUCGAGCCGUACGUGUGCUGAACACAGAGGUGUCGUCCGUUCGACGCUAGAUCGGAACAGCUCGUGAUUGGAUCACGAAGACAUUUGACUACAUCGACCAAGUUUCUCAAUGCUUCCGCUUAGCGAUCUACAAGGGUAUGUAGAUGCACUCCCCCUCUUGUAGCUAUACAUAUCCAUAGAUANNNNNNNNNNNNNNNNNNNNNNNNNNNNNNNNNNNNNNNNNNNNNNNNNNNNNNNNNNNNNNNNNNNNNNNNNNNNNNNNNNNNNNNNNNNNNNNNNNNNGGGGGGGGGGAAGCCCUAGGCGAUGGUGGGCCUAAGGCCCACCUAGGGGUGCGCCACCCCCUCCCCCUGCCCUGGCCGCCGCACCUCCCAUCUGGGGGGGCUGCCGCACCACCUAGGGUGGGAACCCUAGGGGUGGCACCCCCUUCCCCUCCUCCUAUAUAUAGUGGGGGUUUUGGGGCUGUUUUGCACACAGUUUUCCAUCUCCCUCGGCGUAGCCCUGCCCCCCUCUUCCUCCUCUCCCACGAUGCUUGGCGAAGCCCUGCCGGAAGACCUCGUCUCUCCAUCGACACCACGCCGUCGUGCUGCUGGAGAUCUUCACCAAUUCUUCGAGCAAGACCAAAGAAAACAAGAAACAUAAUUAGACAUUUAAAAAAAUAUUCAGCUUUCAUAACUGCUCCUACUAGUUGGAUUAAUAUCUUCUAUAUGUCUUCAUUAUUGAUCUGCGGAUUCUUGAGUGUGCACACUUCUUUCUUCUUUAAUUUUAAAGAAGUAGAUGUUACUUCUCCUUCAGUUUCAUCUUUAGUCUCAUCUCUAGCUUCAAUUAUAGCAACAGGUGCACGAACAACUAUCAAAUUUCUUGUUAUCAAUAAAUUAAUGUAUUCAGUUUUCCAAUACCAAAACUUGCAUCCUUCCUACACAAAUUAAAACAAACAAUGAGCUACCCAAAUUGCAUCAAAUCUGGUGAACAACCAAAUCAAAACAAGCACAUAGCCGGUCUUUUUUGUACUUGAAGAACACCCAUCCGGGAUGUUCCCGUGUAGUCGAAACUUGGCGCACCACUUGCAACGGGCAGUGGUCACACUUUAUGAUCGACUAGCAAUAGUGAGUCGACGAGCCACUGGGCCAGCGUCGAGCCCGAUGCGACGGCCGAGCUGGUCUUUGCUGGUGAACCUUCGACGGAAGAGAUUCGAGUGGCUAGAAGAGGAACCAAUACCUGCAUGCAGCACGGAGGCAUUGUCGGGACCAUGCGGUCUGGUUCCCGGCCAAUCCAUUGCAAGGCGCAGUCACCGGCGCUUGGAAGCUCCAAAUCUGGCGGUGGUGGUUCCAGUCGCAGAUCCAUCGGUUUUGCACCGGCGACGGGUCAGGAAGGCACAAAUCCAAGUGUCGGCGAAGCCUACAGAGCGUCCGCGCUGGCGGGCGAGUGUCGUCGGGGGUGGAAGGGGUGGCGCCGGUGCAAAUGUGACGCGCGAGUGCAAGGGGGGCAAUGGAAGGGAGGCGCGUUUUUUACUCUACGCCGAGUGAUGGAGUAAAUAUAAAUGCUCCCUCUGUCACAGUUUAGAAGACAUACAUUCAAAAUUGUUGGGACCAAUGUGAUUUGCAAUUGGCUUAGUUUCCUUUUGCCAAUGAGGAGUAAUGUCAUGUGUCUUAAAUCUCAUCUUUUAUAAAAACACUCGUAAAUUUAGCUGUGCCACAAAGGGAGUAGUUGGUUUGAUUAUUAUGGUCGUCUGAAAUCUUCAUCAAUUUAUAAUAAUUAUAUAAUGGUGUCAGGCUCGUAACGAACGUUCUGACUAGUCGAAAAAAACACGUACUGCUAGUCAAAGAGCCCCUUGUUUUCUACACUAUGCAUCCAACUAGGGGCACUAGUAUUAAUUAGUUAGGAAUAAAUGUCACGCGUCUUAAAUCUUGUUUAUUAUGAAAACACACGUAAAUUUAACUAUGCCACGAAGGGAGUAGAAGUUUGGGUCCGGCGUAAAUGCUCCCUUACGAUGGUUUGGGGUUGGCAGGUGCCGGUGAGUGGAGUAAAAACAAAAUUUGCUCCACUAAUGAAUUAUAGAAGAUCGGUUAAAAAUGACCUUACUUUUCCUGUAAAGAAAUAUAAAAUCACGGAAGGAGUAAUUGAUUUGAUUAUUAUCGGUCGUCUGAAAUAUUCAUCAAUUUAUGAUAUAUAAUUAUAUAAUAGUGUCAGGCUCGUAAACGUUCUGACUAGUCGAAAAACCCACGUACUACCACUAGUCAAAGCGCCCCUUGUUUUCUACGCCAGCCAGUCAAAAACAUCCAAACAAUUCAAAAAACGAAAAAACCCUCAAAUAACCAACGAACCUUCUCCGAAGAAAACUUCAGGAUUUGCGAGCUGGACCGAAGAAUACUUCGCGGAGAAGCCAAGAACACGCGGAGAGACCGACACGCACGGUUAUUAAAGGCGAAGGCCGCCUCCAGAUCCACGGCGAUGAAGAGCACCCAAACCCCGCGCCAUCACCUCCGUAACCCUCUACUCGCCCUCCUCUUCCUCGCAGCAGCAGCAGGAGCAGCCCAGAUCGCCAUGGCGGCCGAGCCGGAGCAGGCGGCCGCGGCGCAGGAGGCGGCCGUGCACAUCGUCUACGUCGACCGCCCCGAGGACGCCGACCCGAGGAGUUCAACAUCCGCACCCUCUCCCCCGUCCUCAGC